UUUUUUUUUUUUUGCGAAACUGCGGAUUAGUUUAGUUGCAUCUAGUCUAUCUACCUAGUAUAGAGGAUAAAGAGCAGUUGUGGCUAAGUUGGGUUUGGCUAAUCUCACUGAACUCGCUUCAAUGAUCAAGCGUUUAGAGCAUUUCUAGUAGUACCCCUAAACCUUUAAAUCUGUAAAAAUAACUGUUUUUUAUAGUUUGGAUAGAAAAAAAGUGCGUAGAUUAGAUCCCUUCAACCUUUAGACCCUCAAAUAUUUUUAGAGGCCCAACCCGAAAACACAUCUCCAAUCUGUAGAAGUGAAGGUUUGGGAGGAAAACAGGGGUCGACCUGCAAUCCUAGCAACGACGCGCGGGAGGGAAGUUUCAUCCUCCCCAACCUCCGCGCCGCCGCCGCCGCCGCGCGGAUCCGGCCGCCCGCCGCCGUCCCGCCGGUGCCUCACGCCUCGGCCGCGUCCAUCCCCGGCCCCGGACGGUUGCGCCUCCUCUCCGCGCGGAUCGCCGCCCCUGCCCGCCCUCCGCCGCCAGAGGUGAUGCGCCGCGCCGUCCCUUCGUCACCGUCGCAGCCCGCAGCGAGCAGGGCGAGGCGAGCGGCCGCGCGCGCGGCUCAGCGUGAGGAGGGCGCGGACGUCGGCCACGGUAGCAGGCACUCAGCAAGCUGGUCUCGGCAGAGAAGAAAUCAUAGGCCACGUCUCAAUGCUGUUGCCUGCUGUUCGUAUGAAUUUCUUCGUGCCCCCCUUGCUUGGAGCUUAAUUUUAGUCCGGCGUCGGUGUUUGCCACUCUUUGCAUCGCGCGGCGCAUGCCCACGAGCUGUUUGAUGCUUUGCGUCAAUGAGUUCGAGCAGGCCUAGUUCUUGGUUCAUCCACAUGUUUAUGAAAAGCAAUAUGUUUCUUGUGUCAGGAGGUUUUCGAGAAAUGAUCAAGGUAUACAUUCACUAAUCAGUUGCACUAACGGUACUUUUGAAGUAUCAGAACAAGGUCAAAUUUGUCUGUCCUUAUAAAAUCGUCAAACUUUGAUAAUUGCUAUAUUUGUAUGUCACACCAAGCUUUACUUUUAGCAUAUCUAUAGUUUGAAGACAGACAUUGGUGCUAAAAUUUUCAUCUAUAUUAUCUGUUGGACCAUUAAACAAGGACAUGUUUCUUCUUUAGAUCUAAAAACAUUGUAAUUUGAUUAAUGUUGGACCAUUCGGUGGUGUAAUAAUAACUAGAAUGAUUAUUGUUUUAUGUUAAAUGUGAUGGAAUUUGUGGUAUGUCAUAUGAUGAAAUGUGUGAUAUGUGAAAUGACAGUUUUAAAGGUUGGGGGUGAGGCAAAGACUAGAACCCUCAAAUCCAACCCUUAAAGCAGUUUAAGGGUUGGAUUUGAGGGUUCUAGUAUUUGCCCCUGUUUUUCAACCCUUAAGAGUGUCAAAAAAUGGCACUUCUCACCCCUUAAAACUGCUUUAGGGCUCCUUUGAUUCAAAGGAUUUGCAUAGGAAUUUUAAAGGAUUAAAAUCCUUAGGAAUUUUUCCUAUGUUGUUUGUUUGAUUCAUAGGUUUGAAUCCUAUAGGAAUUUUUUCUAAGGAAUUUUUUGUACCACUUCCCAUAGGAUUUCUAGCAUCCACUCAAACCUCUUUGAAAGAAUCCUUUGUUUUUCCUAUGAUGCAAUCAAACAACCAAAAAUCCUAUAUAAUUGAGAUGAGCAUGACAUUUCAAUCCUAUAUUUUUCCUAUUCCCAUGUUUUUACAAUCCCACGAAUCAAAGAGGCCCUUAAGGAUUUGAGGGUUUUAGAGUUCUACUAGUAAUGCUCUUAGUAUGUUGUGGUCUACUAUCCCUCAAAACUUUUGGUUUCGUUAAAGGAAGUCGUCAAUGGGUUGAGUUGGAACUUGAGUCUAGACCGUUCCUACCAACUGGAAAGUGAGACUUGUCGGAGUAGUCUGCACUGCACGCCCAGAUAAUGUACUACUCCUGGAGUACGUAUUGAAAAUUCAUGUCUUCUUUUGGAGCGUACGUGCCGUGCGAAACAUGCCCAUCAAAUUUCGCGGGUAAGGUUGCAACCAGAAGGGCGGUCUAAAUCAUCCUCCCUCUUCCGACUAGGAACGUAUACAAUGGACGGACAAGAGCGGAAGAAUCUUUCACGUUCACGGUGUGUCGACGCACGCGGCGUGGACGGGCCUCGGAUCGCGGCGCGGCGCGAUCGAGCUACGCGUGCGCGACAGCCACGGGCUCCGAGCUCUCCCGCCGCCGCGAUGAGGCUGAGGGUGACUGGCGGGAGAAAAGCCGAGAUGCCGUUGGAAUCUGGUGCUCGGCAGCAGCAUGCGCCGCGUGCGUGCUGCUCUGCUCGGCGGCUUCCGCCUGACACGCGGUGGCGUCUUGGGGGUCUGGGCCAUUGCCGUGCCGGCGUAUUCUCCGCUCAACACGCAGAGAUGCAACAGCGUUCCUCUUGCAUGAAAAUAAGUCCUGUAGUGUAUAGCAUUAGCCGCAAAUGGACAAGGGACAGCGCGAUCCCAUGAGGGACUUCGCGCUAGGCGAACGUUUGCUCGCAUAUCUUCCGUUCAACAAGCGAGGUGCAACAAUGGUCCUCUUGCAUGCAUGAAAAUAUACCAGCAUCAAAGCCGCCAAUGGAAAAGGGACAAGGCGGCGUCAGCCAGCCUAACCAGCGAUAUCAAUCAAUGUAUGUCUCGAUGGGUCGCUGCAGCCUGCAAACGAUCCUUUGCGCUAGGCGGCACGUCUCCAUGUUCCAUCUUGGCUUUCCGUACUCUUUUUGCGGUUGCCACAAGCUAUUCUGUCACGAGAAAGUCCGUAUGUAUGAAUCGACCUGCACUGAAUCUAGCGCCACACACGCCCUCUCCAAUUCCUCACCCGUUCGCUUCUCUUCUCGGCUCAAGUGAACCACCCACUGCACGCCACUGCCAAUCUUGUUCAUUCGUACCGGGACACGUAUGGACAGAUCCGCCACCCAGUAGGCCCACUCACGGAGUGGGAAAGUUAUAGUACAUACUGUACGUACACUAGCACCAGAAACAACCAAAUGUCCUGUGGGGAAUACAAAAGUGAAAGAACUCUGCAUUCGCUUUCCCCGGCCUUGAAGAAACAAAUUCAGUGUACUUGACGCCUGCUGCCCGUGUCACCUCCUUUCUAGAGAGAUCAUGCUUCCACUCACUGGCAGAAACAUUUUCUAUCUUCCCGGCUUCUGCUUCUGCUUCACCAACCACCACCACCACCGGGACACCUCUCCCGGCUAUCACAAAAACAGGCCAUGGCUAAAUGGCCCCAUAAAACAAGUGGGUGAUGAUGAUCAUCAACACAGCAUAUGCCACAACAAGUGUACUUCAGACCAAAACGUACCAAAAUGCACGCACAACAAGUACCCAAGUAUGCAUCGACCGGCAUCACCUCUCUCAUUCCAGUAUAUAAUAACUAAUAUAAUGUGCAGCAGUACUAUACACACACAUCUAUCAAUCAUCAUCAUCAUCAUAAAAAAAGAAACAGAGAGACGAAGGCCACUAAGGCCCGGCCCUAACCUACAUAGCAUCUGCCAAUCCAUGCUCACACACACGCAGCUCAGCUCAACACAGCCCACAGACUCCGGCCACCGAGAAAGAAUCACAUCACAUCGCAUCACAUGGGCAGAUGGCCGUUGUUGUUGUUGGAGGCGCCGCCGUUGUAGGCCUUGUCCUCCGUCUUCCUCCUCUUGAGCACGAUGGCCCAGGUGAUCACCUCCAGCGCCACCGCGACGCCGCCCAGGAUGCCGAUGGCGAUGAUGUAGCCCGUCUUCCACUUCUGCGCCACGUCCAGGAUGCUCAUGCCCUUGAAGAUGUUGACGAUGCCCAGGAUGAUGAUGGUGUAGCCCACCGAGUGGUGGUACACGUUCCAGUACACCCGCAGCUUGUGAUCCUUCUUCGGCCUCAGGAACAGCGCAAAGAUCUAUUGCACAAGAAAGAAAUGGUCACAGCAUUAGUAAGCUCUGCUCAGCUAGGCAACUGGCAUUGCACAAAAAUGCUUCAAUUUUAGCAGAUGAUAGAGAGAGGAAUUGGGAAUGUGGAGAUCAUCUACCUGAACGGUACCGAGAGCAAAUACGGCGAUCCCGAUGUUCCUGUGAAGCGAGUAGGUGAUUCCCUUGGACAGAUUUCCUAGAUGAAUGCCGGUGGCCCAGCCAGACACUCCCACAGCAUACCCGAUCAGCUGGCAAGCAACGUGAAGGUAGAACCAGGCAGGGUCGGCUGAUUUGAAUGUCUUGAGGUAUCUAGCAACUAUGCCUCCCAUUGGCAGAAGAAUCCCCCAGCUCACAGCAUUCAGAAUUCCAUGGGUCUGCACAGAAAAAAAAACAGGGGUAAGGAUGACAAUGUUUUGAUAAAAUUAGUACUCCUACUUCAGUAUGCUCUGUUUUAUACUUCCAUCUCAAUGCCAUGAAUGAACAAGCAAAUGUAGCUAUCAACAAUUAGACUGAUCAAAGGGUAAAGUCCACCAAGGCAGGAAGAAAUCUACUGGCUAGGCAAGGAAAUAUCAGCUCCAGUGUGUAAAUUUUCAAAGUGCAUGGAACAGACAAAACCAUGUGACACACAGAGUCAACUUUACGAGGAAAUUAUACAGCUGAUGUGUGUUCAGAUACAAGUCAACUCAAACCAACCGGGGCACUAGAGUUGAAAUCUUGCAUAUGCAUGUGAGAUUUCACAUGGCAAACAGGCACAGUUUUCUUGUGAGGUGUCCGUUAGAAGCAUACAAAAUUGAUUGUAUUUCCAUGUUGUUGCCACUAGUUCAUGCGGUUUACUCCUGUUUAAACAUUGCAGUAAACCGCUUCGACAGCUACAGUUACUCACUCGUAGAAAAGUUGGAUACUAAAAAAAAUUAGAGCUUAUGUUAAAAGGUGAAAAUUGUCCCCAUUACUUUGCCAGCAAUUCAAGUUUUUUCUGUAUAGAAUAUCUCUCCUCGUCCAAUUUUAGUUUGCGUUACGAUUGCCAAAUUGAAGCGUUCGAAAGGAAGGAAAAACUUGAGCAUGGAGACAUAAAUGUGGAAUCAAAUGAAUAAAUUCCGGGGUAGAGUGCUCACAUUUUUCUUCCUGAGGAUGCUGCCUCCGCUGACGGCUGUGGUCGCCCCCGUGACGAGGUUGAGCUUCCCCUUGGCCCCCAUGUUGGCGGCGGCCAUGGCGUGUAUGCCGAUGCUCCCGCCCGACGCCGGUCCCACCUGCCAGACCUGGUUCACCUCCCCGGUGCCGUUCUGGAGCGCGAGCUUCCCGAACAUCUGGACGCGGCCGUCGGCGCCGACCUCGGCGGCGAGGUCGGACGUCUUGUAGGCGAUGGGGCCCGGCGAUCCGAGCGAUGUGCCCUGGAUGUCGAACGUCUGGACGCCGUACGCGCCGCCGCUGCCCGUGGGCGAGGCGACGAGCGCCUGCGUGCCGCUCAUGCCGUCGCCGGAGGGGUUGAGGCCCCAGGCGACCCAGCCGCCGGACGAGGGCGGCGCGGCGACGAACGCCACGGAGAGGGAGGAGGCCGCCGGGUCGUAGGUCCAGUGCACGGACGCGCCCAGGGUGGGCAGGUCGGUGCAGGCGGCGUACACGCGGUUCUUGGAGAACCUCUCCGCCGCGCACGCCCCCGCCGCGCCCACGCGCGCCGGCGCCGCGGCCGCCAGCGCCGCCGCGACAAGCAGCGCAAGAACCCGCGUGACGGACAUGGCCGCUGGCGUCAGAGGACGGGGGAUCUCUCCUCUGGGGUUAAUGGGGGUUCGGGUGGGAGGAGGCCGGUGGGUGGUGUGGUGUGGGGAAAGAGAAGGCCUGCGCUUUGGAGCCGGGGCGUGUGGGAAGCAGGGGAGGAGGUGGCGCGGUUAAUAAAGGAGGAGGCGGGGAGGGGAGGAGGACAUGUGGGCGCGUAUGAUUGGGCGGGGGUUGACGCGGUCUGGGGCCUUUAGGAAAGGCUAAACACGUUCCGUUUUUACGCCCGUUCCUUGCCGUUUCUGCGCGGCGACUUGCCCAGUUUACUACUGAUGAUGAUGAACCGUAACGUACGGAAAGAUGAUCUACUAUACUAUACUCGUUCGGCUCAUGGAUUUGGUGCAUAUUUACCUGCCUACAUUGGACGUGAUGACAAAUUCCUGCACGGCCAUGUAGAUUCAGGGGUGGCAAGUGCUCCGUUUAGUCUACCGGGCUCCGCUAAUUAAGCACAAACACUUACUAACUAAUUUGUAUCCCUCUGCUCAUCUUGUCCUCUCAGCAGCUCCACUUAAACUGUUAAACAUAGCCUACAUUUUUACUCUUCUAUGGAACAUUUGGAAGUCUAGAAACGAUUUUCUUUCCAAACAGAAAACUAUCUACAUGCUUCUUGGCUUAUGUUGAUGCGGCCUUUAAUCCUGCGGUGGUGGGAAACGAAGCUUCCUUUGCAGUGUUCAUAAGGAAUGAAGAGAAUAACCACUCACUAUUCAUUCAAGCGAUGGCCUUAAAUGUUUUCUCUCUCUAUUUUGCAGGCAGAAGAUAUGGGUUUAUUCCUGGCUGCUUCGAUGGUUAAGGCUUUGGGAUGGAACUUGAUAUCUUUCCAUUAUGAUUGCAUGAUAUUGCUUGAUGCCGCUGAAGCGAAGAAUUUAUUUGAAAGACAGACAUUGGGGGGGCAGACGUUUACUUGCAAAUUUAUUUAAUAUUACUUCCUACCUCAACUCUUACAAGGUUGUCACACAUAUUCCUAGGAUAAAAAUAAUCUUAUUACCCACUGUUUGGCCAAAAAGGCUUUCUUGUAUAGAUCUUCCUCUUGUUACUCUUACUUAUUCAGUUAAGCCUCCAGAUGUAAUCUCACAAUGGCCUAUGAACCGAUAUCUUUAAGCACACACACAAAUAUUGAUAUGUUUGUGGGACGGUUCGAGAGACUUCAAGAACGACCUAUGCCAACUAUUUUUCCACUGUAACUCGAAGUUGGUAACGGUCAGAUCUAACGUUGUAUGCAUCUUCGUAGUGAUCAUGAUUCUUGAUUCCUAUGACGGGUUUUUUCUACUCCCUCCAUUCCCUUAUACAAGGUCACUGUCAAAAAUACAUUUUGCAUCAAUACAAGGCCAUCAACAGUAAUCGAGGCAAAAAUUAAUGAUGUUUCCUUGAACUAGCAACUUUUUAAUACUUACAUGCAUGUAGUCAUAAUGACACUCAGCCACUUCAUUCCCAUUCAUUCGAUGCAUGUUUGUGGUGUAUUAAUGAUCCCGGUUAACGAAAAGAAAAGUUGACUUGCAAAGGAGUCAUUAAAUUUUAUCUUGGUACUUGUAAUAUGAGUUUGUGACCUUGUAUAAGGGAAUGGAGGGAGUAUUACGAUUCCCAACAAUUAAUAAGUACCUCAUAUUUUGUUCAUGGAGAAGAAUAUGGCCCUGCUUUAAUUGCUUGGAAGGAGACCUACAAGCCUAAAAGCCAUGGAGGAUUGGGAAUCCUAAUUAAGAAUCUGCACAAGUUUUACAACAAGGAAGAGUUGUCAUGGGUCAAGCUUGUCUCGGAAUCAUACUAUUCUGAGGCCAUGUGGUAGAAUUGAGGGCUCCUUUUGGUGGCAGUCUCACCUAGAGCGGCUUCCCUUAUUCAAAGAGGUUGCCGCAUGUUCUAUGCCAUCUGUAGAUUUAACUUUAUUUUGGGAACACAAAUGGAAGGAUCAACAACUCAAAGUGCAAUAUUCUGAAUUGUACUCUUUUGCUAUUAACCAAAACUCAUCAUAUGUGGUUUUGUUGUUUCAGGCAGACAUCACAGAAAGCUUCCACAUACCUCUGUCAAUUCAGGCGUUCAACCAGUUUGAGAAUCUGAGUCAUUUGUUGGUGCACCACCCUAUUACUUUUGAGCAUGAUUGUUGGGCUUAUAUUUGAUAUUCAAAGCAAUUCUCAUGCAAGAAAAUGUACAACCAUUUGAUUGAUCAAUGUCAGGCUCACAUCAUUUUCAAACGGCUUUGGAAAGCUGCUAGCCAUAAAAUUUUCUUCUGGUAAGUUAUGCAUGAUAGACUUAACUCCAGAAAUCUCCUUAAGCGCAAGGGUGUGCACAUGAAGAGUUACUGGAUCAUGUACUUGCAUAAAAUACCCUGCAUCGGCUAUGGAAUUGCUCUUUUGUGCAAGCCUACUGGGACACUAUCAUCCCACGAAGACCUCCAUGCAUAUCUACUUUCGAUGAGAUCAGACUCUUGAAAUCUGCCCUGCCUAAAAAGAUUGUUAUGGAUAUCAUUAUAAUGGGUUGCUGAAAUUUAUAGAUGCAAAGAAAUGGCAAGAUAUUUGAGAAUAAAUGACCUUCAAUGCAUUCCUCGAGAUUCAAACUGAUGCAAGAUAUGCUGGUGAUGAGGAUCAGAACUAAAUCCCAACACAUUAAUUGUCUUGACCAAUGUAUUGCUUGCUUUGUUUAACAAAAGUAACUAGAAUUUGGAAUUUCUUCAUGUUAGAAAAACUGGAAUUGGAUAGCUUUAGGCUUGUAGUUUGCACAUUAAAUAACUUUUUACUUAUUUUAAUUAAUAUAAACAAUUGUUCUAGAGUUUCUGGGUCAAAAAGUUAAAACUUUUUUUGAUACAACUAUGAAAUUUUAACUAAUCCAUCUAUAUGUGAGUCGCUUGAAAAUUAAAUUUGGAUUAGUCCAUUUACUAGUCGUUGAUCUAUGCUUUGAGUGCAUCCUUUUUCUGUUUUUUUCCCUGUGCUUUUUUGGCCUUGGUUUUGUCGAAUGAACAGAGUUUUCGGUCAGUUCAUUUCUUAUUGGGCCGCGACCCGUUAUCUAUGCAACCCAGCCUUUCUCUUUCUCCAUUUGUUUUCCUAUUUUUUUUUAGUUUUUAUGUGUUUUUUCUUCUGUUUUUCCUUUUCAACUAUCGGUUUUAUUUUUGGCUAUUUUCAAGAUAUUGGGAGCGUAAAUGUAUACACAUAAAAACUAUACAAUAUGCGCCAAAAAUGCACCAUUAUAUGAUUAUCCUUUGCAAAUUAUAAAAAGUGCAAUUUCACUACAAAACUUUUGCCAGUUCUUUUAUUUUCCUUCUUCUUAAAGGGUAAUACCAAUGCCACUAACUCAUUCAUCCUUAAUAAAUUUCAUUAUUAUUAUUAUUAUUAUUUUAUUUUUAUUCCUUUUUUAUGAUAAUACCAAUGCCACUAAUUCAUUUGUUCUUAGGAAAAUUUAUUUUUGUGAAAAUCCCACUAUUAUAUACUUAAGCUUGCAUGUUUUUAAUAGCACAAUUUUUAUGUUUAUUGUAUUUAGUUUUUACCAUUGUUUGUUUUAGAUUUUUUUUCUUUCUUCUUCAAGGGUAAUAUCAGUGUCACUGAUUCAUUCUUCCUUUGCAAACUUCAUUAUUUUGAAUUUUUCUAGUUCAUUUCUCUUUUUUAGGUUCAUUUUUUCUUUAAAAAGGUAAUAUCACUGCCGCUAAUUUAUUCUUUCGUGGAAAACUUCAUAGUUUUGAGUUUGUUUUGGCUUUUAUUUCAUUUCCUUUCUUCUUUAAGAGUAAUACCGCUAGCACUAAAUUUUUACUUCUUAGAAACUUUUUUGGUGUGAAAGUUUUACUAUUAUAUGAUUAUUCUUGCAUACUAUAAAAAGCGUAACUUUUUGUAAAUUAUGUGCAGAUUUUGUUAUUUCCUGUUUUAGAUUAUUUUAUUGUCUUUCUUCUUCAAGAGUAAUACAAAUGCUAAUAAUUCAUUAUUUCUUGAAAAACUGAUUAUUUUCAAUAUUUUAUUUUAUAAGUGUAAUAGCAAUGCCACUAAUUCAUUAUUUGUUUUUGUAGUUUUAUUUCAUUCUCUUCCUUCUUAUUGGGUAAUACUAAUCCAUUAAUUUAUUCCUUCAUAGGAAACAUUUUUUUUUGCAAAAAUCCAUUAUUAUAUGCUUAUACUUGGGUAUUAUAGAAAGCACAAUUUCCGUGUAAAGUGUGUGGAAAUUUCAUAAUUUUUCUAUCUUUUAAAGGGUAAUAUCAAUACCACCAAUUCAGUCUUUAUACAAAAAUUCCUUAUUUUAAAUUUGUGUAAACUUGUAUAUGUUAUUUUCUUUCUAAUUUAAGGUAAUACCAAUGCCACGAAUUCAUUCUUUCUUACAAUUGCUUCUUGCAAAAACUCCAUUAUUAUAUGUGUAUUAAAAAACACAUUUAUGUGUAAAUUGUGUGCAGGUUUUGUCAUUAUUUAUGCGGAAAGCCUAAGCGCUCACUCGCGUUGUUCCACAUGCACCAUCUCUUAUGCGGCCACCUUCUGGAUGAACAUGCGCCAAGAAAAAAACGUUGAUCUAGAUGACUUAGGCGAACCAAUCUGUAACUGGAUGGUUAGGAGGAUAGUGGUAUCAUUAGCCCACCAGGAUUCAAGUUAUGGUGCUCACAUUAUAUUAAAUUUAUUUCAGGGUUGCCAGAGAUGCGUGUUUAGUGGGAGGAGACGUUCUCAUCGACUACGAGGCGCCUGUGAUGACUUCGUCAAUCUUAAAAUGAUAUGUCGGCUCAGUCUUGAAGGUGCUAAUAUGGGUAAGGUGUGCAUGUUUGUGUUCAUAGGAGUGAAUGUAUACCCGUAUACAUGACUUAGAAAACUGCAUGCUAAGCUUAAUCAAUCAACACAUCAUGAUCUCAGCUAAUUUUCAGAAGAGCCAUUGUGAGAAGUGCAACAAACACUCGCCUGCACGCCGGCAGAGCUACAGCAAGGUCAGAUGGGCCAUGGCCGGGAGAUUUAAUAGUAUAGGUAAAUUAGGGUCUUUUUGAGAGAGAAAAAUGUGUUUCCUUCAGUAUCGACCACCUUUGCCCGCUCAAUCAUUUUUGGGUAGCUCCCCCACUGCACGUGCAUGCAACAACUAUGGUGUAGAAGCUCAACUAGGUCUCUCUGAUUGCUUGGUCCCGUAGUGUAAAAAAUGAUCUUACAUUUUUUAGCAUUUUGGGACGGAGGGAGUAUGAAAGAAAUCGGUUUGAUUGAUUAGUUAGUUGAGCAAAUAUCACUUGGGUUAAAGAUCUCGCUGUUGAAAUAUGGGGUGGGCUUUAGUCCCAUCUAACAAUUUCAUAAAAAUCUCUAAGAGCUCAUGUAGAUGUCAUGACAAGGGGUGAUGGAAAGUUUAGUCCCACCUUGCUAGUUGGAGAGGAGUUGGACCUUCUUAUAAGGGAUUCUCUUUCACAUGCUAUUGGAGCCUCAGAAGAGAAGAGGCCCUCGCGCGCUCCUCCUCCGCCGCGCCGCAUCAAGGGAAUUAUUCGAGCCGAGCUCACACCUAUGCGCUUAUUUAUAUGUGUGAGGCAUCUCCUACCCUAGCCGUCACGCGAAUCAGAUCACAUCUGCCUUCAUGCCCACGUUGUUCCAUUGCUGCUGCUGCCGGCGGCGAUCCAUCCCGUUCACCGCGUGCACGGUUGACGGGAAAGGGAUAAUUAGGUUUUUGGGACGCGACUGCUGGCCUAUGUUCAUCUGCUUCCUCUACGUCUGCGUCCAUAUCUAGGCGUUCACUACAACAUGAUUGCUAAUUAUAAUAUGAUAUCCUUACUCUUCUACAUGAUGCAAGAUGCUUGGAGCUGCUUGAAGAUGCUAGUCUUCGAUAGGCUAGGCCUUCCCCUCUAUUCUGGCAUUCUGUAGUUCAGUCCACAGAUACAACCCCUCCAUUUGAUGUCAAUGCAUACUUAGUAUAGAUCUGAUGCUUGCGAGUACUUUGGAUGAGUACUCACGGUUUCUUUGCUACCCCUUUUCCCCCUUCCUUCUUCUUUCCGGUUGUUGCAACCAGAUGGUGGAACCAUGGAGCCAAAUGCCACCCCAGUCGACUACUAUUACUGCACCGAGGUUGCCUACUACUACAUGGAGACCGACGACGACCAGGAGUAGUUAGGAGGUCCCAGGCAUGAGGCCUGCCUCUUCGAUCGUUGAUGUUUGUGCUAGCCUUCUUAAGGCAUCCUUGUUUAACUUAUGUCUGUAGUCAGAUAUUGUUGCUUUCGCUAACUCUUGUCUAUCGAGCUUGUAUUCGAGCCCUCGAGGCCCCUGGCUUGUAAUAUGCAGCUUGUAUUAUUUUAUUUGUGUCUAGAGUUGUGUCGUGAUAUCUUCCUGUGAGUCCCUAAUCUUGAUCGUACACAUUUGCGUGUAUGAUUAGUGCAUGAUUGAAUCGGGGGCGUCACAGGUAUGCUGAGGCGAGGGUGCAUGUUCCAAUCCAGCGAGAGUGCCAGAAGAGAGCCGUCGAGCCAUCUCCUAUCGUUACUGUCGUUGCAGCCGCAAACAGGGCCAUGUCCUCGUCGCUGCAUGGUGGCAUGGCCAUGAGGUCGACGUUGUCGCAUCUAAUGGGUAGAGCCGAUGACUUUGAGGGGUUUAUAUGGAGGCCCUCGGAUUCACCAAAGCCCUGGAGGAUGUCUAGGAGCGCGUCAAUCUCAUGUUGUAUUGGGUUUGAAAAUAUGACUACAUCGUCGGCGUAUAGGCUGGUUCUAAGUUUGAGCUCACAGCCGGGCAGUGGAGCAAUAAUUUGUCGAUGCGUGGCCUCCUCUAAGAGGUGAUGUAGGGGAUCAAUUGCCAAGAUGAACAGGAAAGACGAUAGUGGGUCGCCCUGCAAGAGUCCUCGACGAUGCGUAAUCUUCCAGCCCGACGAGCCGUUUAGGAGGAAUGAAGAAGAUGAGGUGGAGAGUAGGAGAGCGAUCCAGUCUCUCCACCGAGCACUAAAUCCUAGCCUCUGCAUAAGCUCAAGGAUGUAUUCCCAGGAUACAUUGUCGAAGGCUUUGGUGAUGUCUAGUUUGAGUAGUAGGGCCGGAGUCUUCUUUCUGUGAAGUGGUUUGACGCAAUUUUGGAUGUACAGAAAACUGUCAUGAAUGCACUUGGUUUGUAGGAAGGCCGACUGUGCUGGGGAAAUCAAUGUGUGAAUGACUGAUACGUAUCCAACGUAUCUACUUUUCCAAACACUUUUGCCCUUGUUUUGGACUCUAACUUGCAUGAAUUGAAUGGAACUAACCCGGACUGGCGCUGUUUUCAGCAUAAUUGCCAUGGUGUUAUUUUUGUGCAGAAAUAAAAGUUCUCGGAAUGACCUGAAAAUAAACGGAGAAUAUUUUUGAAAUAUAUAAAAAAUACUGGCGAAAGAAUCAAGGACAGAGGGCCCACACCAUGUCCACGAGGGUGGGGGCGCGCCUACCCCCUGGGCGCGCCCCCUGCCUCGUGGGCCCCCUGGUGCUCCACCGACCUCAACUCCAACUCUAUAUAUUCACGUUCGGAGAGGAAAAAAUCAUAGAGAAGGAUUCAUCGUGUUUUAUGAUACGGAGCCGCCGCCAAGCCCUAAUCUCUCUCGGGAGGGCUAAUCUGGAGUCCGUUCGGGGCUCCGGAGAGGGGAAUCCGUCGCCAUCGUCAUCAUCAACCUUCCUCCAUCACCAAUUUCAUGAUACUCACCGCCAUGUGUAGUCUUGCUGGACGGUGAUGGGUUGGAUGAGAUUUAUCAUGUAAUCGAGUUAGUUUUGUUAGCGUUUGAUCCCUAGUAUCAAUUAUGUUCUAAGAUUGAUGUUGCUGUGACUUUGCUAUGCUUAAUGCUUGUCACUAGGGCCCGAGUGCCAUGAUUUCAGAUCUGAACCUAUUAUAUUUUCAUGAAUAUAUGUGAGUUCUUGAUCCUAUCUUGCAAGUCUAUAGUCACCUAUUAUGUGUUAUGAUCCAUUAACCCCGAAGUGACAAUAAUCGGGAUACUUACCGGUGAUGACCGUAGUUUGAGGAGUUCAUGUAUUCACUAAGUGUUAAUGCUUUGGUUCGGUACUCUAUUAAAAGGAGGCCUUAAUAUCCCUUAGUUUCCAAUAGUACCCCGCUGCCACGAGAGGGUAGGACAAAAGAUGUCAUGCAAGUUCUUUUCCAUAAGCACGUAUGACUAUAUUCGGAAUACAUGUCUACAUUACAUUAUUGAACUGGAGCUAGUUCUGUGUCACCCUAUGUUAUAACUAUUGCAUGAGGAAUCGCAUCCGACAUAAUUAUCCAUCACCAACCCAUUGCCUACGAGCUUUUCACAUAUUGAUCUUUGCUUAGUUACUUUCCCGUUGCCACUGUUACAAUCACUACAAAACCAAUACUGUUACUUUUGCCACCGUUACCGUUGCUUCCAUAUUACUUUGCUACUAAAUACUUUGCCAUGGAUAUUAUGUUUUCCAGCCGUGGUUGAAUUGACAACUCAGCUGCUAAUACUUGAGAAUAUUCUUUGGCUCCCCUUGUGUCGAAUCAAUAAAUUUGGGUUGAAUACUCUACCCUCGAAAACUGUUGCAAUCCCCUAUACUUGUGGGUUAUCAAUGACCGUGGCCACCUCAUCGAGAGGACCUUGGAGAUUAGUUUGGUGAUGGAGUGGAUUAGACUAAUUGGCCUAUAGCCACUGACGGAGGAGGCCCCAUCAUUUUUGGGGAGUAAAGCUACUAAAGAUGUGUUGAGCAUCGCGAAGUUUCUACCAGCAAGACUAUAGAAUUUGGAGAAGGCCGCCAUGAUGUCGCCUUUGAUGAGUGCCCAGCAGGAUCUGAAGAAAAUGCCCGAGAAGCCAUCCGGUCCCGGCUAUCGCUCGGCCAGGGAAGAUUUGAUCGCACGACACAUUUCUUCCUCUAUGAAGGGGUUGUCCAAGCCUCCGCCUUGAAUUUGUGGCAGUUGGAGUGAGGUCCAAUUGAUGGUGGUGCUCCGAUGCACCGUCGUUCCCAACGGAGAAUGGAAAUGAUCAUGGAUCGGCUUCUCUUUGUCUUCCUGUGCGGUGACUACACCCACUGGCCCAUGCAGAGUAUGUAUGAAAUUUUUGCGAGCUCUAGAAUUGAUCUUUGCCUGGAAGAAGGCAGUUGGCACAUCGCCUGCCCGCAGCCAUGUGAUGCGGGACGCCUGCCUUUUCCGAGCUCGCUCUACUGCAGCAAGGCCUAAGAUCCACAGCUUGAGAGCUUUUCAUAAGUGGAACUCGUCGUCGGAGAGGAUCCUACUUUCUUGUGCUAUGUCUAAUCUCAGGACAAUUUCUGUAGCAAGAUGUAGCUAUAGGCAUGCGUCGCUGAACAACGAUUUGCUCCAAAUCCUCAGGUCCCUAGCCACCCAUGUCAUUUUAGUGUUCAGCCUAGCGACAAUGCAACGCUCGGGGGUAGGGCGAUUCCAUGCCCUUUCAACAGUUUCAUGGAAGUGUGGGUGCCGGGGCCAGAAGGAUUCGAAUCUGAAUCUCGCCCGCCGUCGAGGGGCUGCCGUCGCAGCUAGUAGUAGUGGGUAGUGGUCGGAGCACGAGGUGGAUGCGGCGUGUAGAAGGUGCGUCGGGAACAAGUUUUCCCAGGCCGAUUGUGCAGAAAAACUUGUCAAUGCUAACUAGGGUCGGGUUUCGUCGUUCGUUGCUCCAGGUGAAGCGACGAUUUUUUGCAUUUGAUUUCACGCAAACCCGUUGCAUCAAUGGCCGCUCUAUACUUGCCCAUGACCCUACGAUUAAUGUUGUUGUUGCUUUUGUCUCUAGCCUCAUAUAUGAUGUUGAAGUUGCCGUUAAUUAACAAAGCAUCCCCUGAUGGUGGGGGCGCCCUUGCAAUCUCUGCGAGGAACUCAUCCUUGUGCAUCUCAUCUGCUGGCCCGUAGACCGUAAUUAGCCAGAAGGAGGUCUGGGAUCUUACUAGGCUAACUUUUCCCGUGAUGGAAAACUGGCCGAUCGCCCGCGUUUGAACGGAGACGGUGCCGGAGUUCCAGAAGAUGGCGACUCCUCCUCACGUUCUCAUUGCAGGCAGUGCAGCGCAAUCAUCUAGCCUAGUCCCUCCAAUGUCCUUAACUAUCGCUAGCAACCAACUCUUGAUCUUGGUCUCCUGAAGGCACAGGAUUGCUAGGUUGUGCGUGCAUGCGACGUCACAAACUACAAAAGCGACGCACCGGGGUGUUUAAGCCUCUAACAGUCCAACUCAUAAUGGGGCAGUUGGCGUCAUCCAUAGGCAAACCAAGAGGAGUUCCUGCGGUGAUCUAUAACUCUACAAAGCAAGAUAGUCAGUCGACGACCGAAAAUCAUUGAAGGGAAACACGAGUACACCAUCCAUUUAUGCUAGGGUUGCCCGCGGCCACCAAUAGGCCCAAAACCCCGCCAGCAAGCAACUAGCCUCCUACUCAAACUACUGUUACAGGGUUGCAGACACAUAACUAGACCUAACUUCACCAAGCGCAUGGCUGGUCGUCGCCGACGAAACAGACUACAAAUGACUACUGACAUGGGGCAGCGGAUGGCCUUGAGGCCUCACCAUCCUGGGCGUUCACCCCGCAAUGGCCUUGAGUGCGCGGGUGUCAAGGCGAGUGAGCUUGGCAAUGGCGGCGAGGGAACCAGCCUACUAAAUUCAUUCAUCCUACUCCUAGCCGAUCCCUAACCAUGAAGGACGUUCUGACUCUCCCUUUGGACGCAUGGAGACUGACCGUUUUUUUUAGCUCUAAUAGAUACUCCUAAUUGUGGGUGUGUACGCAGUCCCUGUGUGUAGGUACAACAUCUAUCUCUCCUUGCCGCAAAUGGAAGACAGCACCUCAUUAAUUGACAUGGAUUCUACAUCUACAUUAAUACUACAAAAGACGCAGAAAAAACUCCCAGAGGAUUGAAAUCCUCCAAAAUAUCUCUCAAAAUCCAUCCUUUGGAUCAAAGAGGGCAUUGCAUUAUCCUCUCGCUACGGAUGGAGUACCUCGCCACAGCCAGGUUGCACCAGAUAUCGUAUCCCCGCAUGCAUGCGACAUGGCAUUGUCAAAGCGUACCACCGUCCGGUCCACGGCUCCACAUCCACGCACGUCAUUCUCUUCUCUAAUCCGCUCCAUCCACCACCAACCUAGCCUGCUACUGGUACGUACACAUCACGGAUGACAUGAGCGGGAGGAUGAGCUUGCACGCCCUGCUUGCUAAUGAAAAUGAAAUGAAUAAAUGAUGCAGUACUAGGAACGAAAGACACCGAGCCUGCAUUACGUGCUCCGUCGAUAUCUGACAUCUUAACUUCCACUUCCACAUGGAUUGACAGACAACGACGAUCUGCAGGCUGCAGCGCCCCACGCGGCGGCGCCGUGACGGCGUAUCAACCCCUAAAUCUUUCCAGAACGCACCGCAACCACCGGCAUCCGGUGCCGUCAAGGCUUACGUCCGACGCCUAUAGAAGCUGACCGAGUCGCGUCUCUGUGGAGUACUGUGCACUCCAUCGGUGUGCAUGGAAGGGCUGCUGGAUCCCGUCCCCGGAUCUAUGCACAUGUACACAGCACACCCCGACGGGCUUUUCCUACGAAGGUGAGGGCUGGUAGGUGGGUGACGGACUGAGCCUGAGCGGUGAGCAGUCCAGUCGGUCGGUCGUGGCCACACGGGAGAGCCCGGUAGUACGCCUCACCUCAACUUCAGAGCUGUCAUUAGCAGCCGAGAAUACAGUGGCUUUCAGCGCGUUCGUUUCGGUCGAGUUGACUCCCGCGCAUGCAGCUCCCAGCGGACUCUGCGUUUAGGUAACGUGGUUCGGAAAAACGCACGGCAUGACGAACUUCUUUUUUUUCAACAUCAGUACAAAAACAAAUACUUAUAUACACGUACAUACACUCACCCCUUACGACGAACGCCUUCUACUUUUGCGGUUGGGCGAGAAAUCACUGGGAACGCUCCCGUCUUCGCAGACCAGGAGCCUUGCUGACAGGUAGCGUUCGCGUGAGCUCGUAGGAAACGGCGAGUGCGGCUGGCAGGCCGGCGUACCUGUCAACGUUCAACGACUUGGAACGUCGUCAUGGGCGUUGAACGACGCUUGAUAUCUGAGGUUUAGGUUGGUCAGCUAUCUAGCAAAGCGUCGUUGGUGAGGUUGCCAUCAGUCAGCACCAUGAAACGGUUGGGUGCGCGCAGUUCACCGGCAAUCUUCAUGGCUCGUCAGCUUCUCGUAUCUUUUCCUGGAACGCGGGGAUGCGUGUUCCGAUCGCACCAGUUUUUCGGGAACAUGAUCUGCCAAGAGGAAACGAUUUCCAGUAUUGUGGUAACUCGAUAUUGGCAAGAGAGAACGAUCACCAUGGCAAAUAAGGCAGACGCUGACGCCAGCACGUACGUGCCGUGAAAGUUGUACUAACAGUAAGAUGAGCUAUAAGAGGUGUAGUAGUAUCUUAGAGCAUCGCCGGGCGCCCGCCCCGUCACUGAUCGGUCACGGUUUUUCGAUUCAGAUGGACCCCUCAAACGGCCUCAAAUGCCCGGGCAUGUCCGUCACGUCUGUCUGAUGGCCGGGUCUUACGUGGAAACGGCCAGAAACCCGGUGGUCCAAUGGAUGCCGUGUCCGUCGCCGCGUGGCGCCGCUCCGUCUAGCUUCCCAAAACCAAAUCAGGUUAUUUAAGCCGGUUGGCGUCCCGCAACCCUAACCUAUCCACCUUCCCCCUUUCCCUCCCUUGCUCUGGUGCUCUGCCCACGGUCCGACGCUCCGCAACUUCCUCAUGGGCCGGAGCAAGAUCGCCUACUACGCCAUGCUGACUCUAGAGCGCCGCUACGAGAUCCAGCAGGAGAUCCGGGCGAGGCAAGCCACGUGCGCCGCGCGCGUCGUCCGCAUCGCUACUGGGCUGCCUCCGGACUCGUUGUAGCCGAAGGAGGAGGAGGGGUAGCCGAGGGAAAAGGAGGAGUAGCCGGGGGAAGAGGAGGAGCAGGAGAUGGCUCCGAUGCAGGUGGAGGAGGCGGAGCAGCAAGAGUCGGAGCUGCCGGAGCAGCAGCUGCAGGGCUUCAACAUGGAGCAGGCGGAGUUCGUCGUCACCCAGUCCAAUGAGAUGGGGGAGCAGCAGGCCAUCCUAAAGUCCAUCAAGGAUGAGACCUAUGUGGAGGCCAACCGGGCAUUCCAUCGGCGGGAGCAGGCGAAGUCCGACGCGCUCUUCGUCAAACUCAACGUGGAGAUAGAGGUGGAGGAGGCCGGAGCGGAGCAGUCGAAGGAGCCGGAGUUACAACUGCCGCCCAUGUUGCCGAAGCCGGGUACGAAGAUCGUCGACAUCUCCGACCACAAGUAGCUAGGUGAUCAACGUAGUACGUAGGUUUAUUUUAGUUUGCACGUCUUUAUAUGAAUAUGAGAAUCUAGUAUAAAGUUGUCCACAUGCAACUGUUAAAAUCUGAGGCAUGUUCGAUCACUGCAUCCAGACGCGGGCGAUUGAAAGGCCAGAUUUGUAAAUCCGAACGUAGAUGCUCUUACACGCCUAAAUAAAAGUGCACGUAGGAAUAGGAUUUUCGCAUUGAAAAUGGCUCCUCUCGUCCGGUUCUGUCGUGUCCAUGGCAUGGACGUUGCCGUCGCGGCGUCUAGAUUCACAUGGGCCGGCCAUUCCCCUGUUCACACCGCUACAAGUCCGUGUCCUGACUUCCCCGUCUGCUUGGACCGGAGAUUAAUUUCGCUUGCGUCGAGUCGACCUCGCCGCUGGAUUAACGCCGCCGCGAGUUUCACGGUCAUGUCCAUGCGACGGCACAGGCGAGGUAGUAGGUGCGGCUGCUAGCUACAGGACGCGGGAUACGGAGGAAAAGCGACGAGUGGGGCGCGGCGACGACGGCGACAUUUGGCGCGUGGCGACGAUGAGCAUAUGGGCUGAGUGAUUCCGUCAGUCCAGACAAAACGAAAAAAAGACCCGACGCUGUCGCCGUGUGUGUGGCCCCUGCUCACCCCUCUUCGUUGUGCUCGACAGCGAUGACGCCACCGUGACGGCCGCAUUACGUCAGCGACAAGGCAGAAAGCCAAAGCUGUGAUCGAAAUGGGAGGAAAAGCGGCGUACUUCAAAAAGAAAAGAAAGAAGAAUCGUUCCUCCUUUUGAAUUUACGAAUUCACCUUUAGUGUUUUUUCAAAAAAAAAUGUUUCGAUUGCUGGCCACAUGUGUCAUGUAACCAUGCCUAAAGCAAUAUACUUGAGCUCCUUUUCAUUGGUAUAUAAAAAUGCAAAAAUGUCUUUUGGAGGCCGCUUUUGAAAAAUUCAAAUUCAAAUUUUUUACAUUUCAAAAAAUUCUGAAAAAACAUAAUGCACAAGCGUGUAAAUUCUCAAUACGAAAUACGUUGGAAUGAGGGAUGUUCAAAUGUUCAAGAAAUUCGACCUCCAUGGAGGCCCAGAGCCAAAACGCCUCACUCUAUAAAAAGGUGCGUGUAUGUAACAUGGUAGCGAUAGCACAAUUCUUCUGGUAAGCACGGAUCGUCCCGUGCACAUCGGGGUGCGAGGAGCGUUUAUCUUGCGAAGAACUUCGCUACACUGUAGUCUGAUGAAGCCAACAUUUGCGGCGUGCUAUGUACAGGCUUACAGCCAUUGACACAAACGUUACGUCCCUGUCGUGCAUGGAUUUCCUGGCCGUAGCUGCGACCGUACUCUGCCCGAUUUGGCCACUCGUAUAAACCAAAGAAGUCUACUCUUGUGGAAAUGUCCGGGCGUUCGAAGAAAAGUUUACAACGGGUCAACUGGUCUGGCCCAAUCAAAGCUUCUCCCGCCAAAUUUCUGAGCUCCGGUAGGUAUUCCAUUUCAACGAGCGCGUAUGAAGUGCCAGUAUUCAGGCUUGGAAUUCGGGGUCUCAGCUCCACAGUGUGUGAGUGGUCACACACUGAAGUAAACGUCGGCGUCGACGAGGUCUUGUCCACUGACGGUUGACGUCUACUCUCACUCACUGGUCAAAGUCAAAGAAAAUAACGCCGAACACAUCAAAGAGGUUGCAAUGUGUACGAGUGGUCACGGAUUCGUACUAUACGUCCAAAAUCGUCGGCCGGCGCCGCGGCAGACACAACGGAUGGGAACUUAGCUUAGCAGAAAUAAUUAUGGUCACACUUAGCUUAGGAAGUUAGCAGCCACUCGAUGAGAAUCGAACUAAGUCUGAAAUUCAAUUAAUCUCUUGUGGCACGGCUAAGUUUUCUUUUAAAGAAAAACAACUUUUCAGUUUCUCUUGCACCCACUUGCUCAUUUUUGUCGCUGGCUUUUUUAGGGGCGUUUUUGUCUCUGGCUGGCUUGACAUACUGCCGUUCCUUGGACGACGGUCAAUUGAGUUAGUAAGAUAUUCGGCCCAAAUCCAACGGAGGCGUGUCUAGCCGGCAAAUGGAGUUAGGCCCAUUACCAUUAUUCUACUGGCCUGUUGCUGUUUCUUUUGCUGUCUUCUCCGUUGAGGAGUCAGGAGAGGACGCAUACCAAACUUCGGCACACCUCCCUCCUUCAGAAAAGUAAGUUUGCAAGAAAAACAAUUAAUCUACAUUAGAUAUUGGAGCCCACUGAUAUGCGUAUGUGUUUUGUGCUAUUAGUUCGUCCCUUAGCAUUCCUUUUCGAAAGAAAAAAAGUUCGUCCCUUAGCUCAUAAUAAGCUUUUCAUGCAUUUCUAGAUGAGGAGACUCCACAUGGAAACAAAAAAAUCUGAAACUUUUGAGCUGUUUGCCUAUUGCCCGGUGCCAUGCUGCGCGACUGAAGGCAUGUGAACGUGCAGUACAUCAGUCUUCGGCUAAUGUGAAAUCGAACAACCCAACCAGACUGAAAUGCUCGCCCCUGAAAAGGACUGCCAGUACUUUACCUGAAUCGAUCCUCCGUCAAGUGACUUCUCAUCUGUAGCACCACUUUUUUUCCCAGAGAAAAAGAAGAUCAGAAGGUUGAGGAGCUUUAGAUUCAGUCCAAACUUGAAAGCUCGCUCCCAAGCACGGCAGAAUGAACAGGCACGCACAAAUCAUUGAAGAAAUGAUGCACACGCAUCUGCGCCGUCACCUAAAAGCUCCAGCUGAGUUGGGUCCGUUCGUUCCACACACACACACACACCCUGUAAAAGACGAGGAAACAUCAAAUAAAGCGUGGCCGGGCCGGCACGGCCACGACCAGAAAGUGUCCACACACACCAUAAUCAUAUGCAUCUACUUUAGAUCGUUGAGUUUGCUUCCGUGAGAUGUGUGCGGUGAUCGUUGAGUUGGCUGAUGGUGUUUGUUUCUGGCAGUUUCUUCCACGGGUGCGGUUAUCUGAACCAAAGUUUCAGUUAAACAAAAUGCGGCCUGCCUGCCUGCCUGUCGCCUUCCCUUUGCGGUUCUGGAUGGCGUCGCGUGAAGUCUUGUGUAUCCAACUAAUCUAAUCGAUCUAUCUACCUAGGUGACCAUUUGGCAGCUUGUCGAGGGGCAUCAUCAGCACAUCACGGGAGUGGAGUGACCGUCUCCAAUUGAUUACUCCCUUAGAUGGAAGCCUACCGUGCAGUGCUAGUAGAAUAGCUAGUAGCAGCACUAAAUUGAGUUGGUAUAUUUGCCUGCGUUUGAAAUUUCCAGCCGUUGCAAUUUGUGCAGGGUACGGUGACACAAUUGAUUCGGUCACAGGCCAAGACAGAGAGGCGGGGCAGCAUGGGACUUAAGAGUUACUGCUGCUGCUACUUGCACAUGAAUGCGGCGACAGCGUCGGUAGAUCUACUCCCUCCGUUCCUAAAUAAUUGUCUUUCUAGAUAUUUCAACAAGUGACUACAUACGGAGCAAAAUGAGUGAAUCUACACUCUAAAACAUGUCUACAUACAUCCGUAUGUUGUAGUCUAUUUGAGAUGGCUAGAAAGACAAUUAUUUGAGAACGGAGGGAGUAUUAGAUUAGAAGAAAAAAAGGCGGCAAGUUGUUUGAAGUUGCUCCAUAAUUUUUGGAUGUGAGAUCAUACUUUCAAUUCCGUAGAGGCAGCUGUGCCCAUUAUGCUGACACCAGAUUACCGAUAACAAAUUGCCCUCACAUUGUACACAAUCAAUCAGUCAAUCUCGUGUGCCGCUCCACGUUACUCCAUUCUGUUACUUGAUUGCGUUGUUGUUUCGAAGAUUAAGUUAAAGAUACAGUAUUAAACUCAUACAGUGUGCAGUUCCGCGCGCAUGUGGAUCGUAUAAUUGCAUCACAUAGAGUUCUAAAUUGUCACAGCUUUCGUCAUCAUAAACUAUCUGAUAGUCUAUAGAACAACAUCGUCUGAAGUUCUAAUCUGUCACAGCAUUCGUCAUCGUCGUAAUUAAGGAAGGAUCUUGCACCAUCUACUAACUGUCACAGCAUUCGUCAUCUGCAUGGUGAUCGACGGGUCAACCCUUCAAAGUCCAAAUGUGGGUGCAGGCGCAGCGCUGGGCACGCACGCGUCCAUGUGCGGCUGCCCCUGGCACGCCGAGAUAAAUGCGAGAUACUACCAUAUGAUAUCCACAUGAUCAUCCCUCCCGGCCAAGAAAAAGAUAUCCACAUGACGGUGACCAGACUCCAGUUCCGUCAACGAUGAUAUCUUCAUAUCGCCCGAGCAGUAGCGUGAACGAUGAUCUCUGUAGACUGGGUACUGUUCAUGUCACCCCUGGCCGCUGGAUCAUGAUCUGACGGAGGGGAGAGGGGGGCAAGGCACCAUACUGUUUAUGGGUGACAUGCUGAAGGCAUGUCAUUGGAUCUCAAUCCCUCUACUCUAGUAAACUUGCAUCUUUGUAGAAGUGUUUUCUAAGCUAAGUAGCUAACCUUUGCAUGUUAGGUUUACUGUUUCUUUUCAAUAUCGCCUUCCCUUGUGGGCACGGUCACUAGGGCACAGCAACGUGACAUGCACGAGGCAUGCAAUCAACCAACCAGCCAGCCGGUCCAUGAGCGUGGAACAGUAGCUCUUUGAUCCAUGCCGCAAGAUAUUUCACACGCAUUUAACGUACUACUUGCCGUGAAAGAGGAAAAAUGAUCAGUCCACACGCAACGCAGAGUUGCAACGAAAUGAGCCCGCCCUCCCUCUUUGGGAUUGCCUGCGUUUCUUGGGAAGUUCGGCCAGCCAGUAUCAUAUGGAGAUACUACUAUCAGUGGCCAUUGAUUGGUUGGUUAUCUUCUUUCUUUUAGGUGGCUCUGCUGGUGCGGUGUAGCGGUGUGACUGGCCCGGCUGCGAGCGCUGUCACGUGCAUGGUUUGCCCGGCGUGCCGUCGACCGCGCCAGACUCGCGCCUCUUCUGCGUUGCCUCCUCCCUCGUUUGGCAGACCGGGAAUAUUAUCGUGGCCGCGUCUGUGUGGCGCCUUCUUCUGGUUUGUACAGAAGUAUCACAAUUGGGGCAUUGGAAGCAGAUUGAUACUAAGUUUGAUAAUUUUUACGUGUUAGUAUCAAGUCUAGGGCUAGCCGUUAUAAAAAGGUCUAAAUUGAGUAUAAACACGUAUUGACGGUGUAUCUGACCGGUGAGGCCCGCCUGUCGCGUGCCGACGUGGUUUUUUUUUUGCAUAAACACCCCUUCCCCCUCCCCCCGCGCAGCAAACCAGUCGAUCCAGCCGUCGUCGGCGAGCAGCAGCAGCCACGAGGACCCCUCGCGCCUCCUCCCGAGCUCCCCAGCUCGCUCACCAGCGCGCCUCCGCCUCCUCGUGCCUGGGCUCCUCCUCCCAGCCGCCUCCGCCCGAGGGUCUCGCCGACCCCGCCCCCAGCCGUCGCCGGCGAGCAGCAGCAGCCACGAGGACCCCUCGCGCCUCCUCCCGAGCUCACCAGCACGCCGUCGCCUCCUCGUGCCCGGGCUCCUCCUUCUAGUCACCUCCGCCCUAGCGUCUUGUCGACCCCGCCCCACGCGCCUCGCCGGAGCAGCCAUCGCCGGCGACCAGGUCCCCUCGCGGCCUCCCUGUUUCCUCCCUCUCUGUUGUAUGAACAAAGGACCAGCGCCGCCUGUUACGACAUAUCUCUCUCAAGGUAGUUUUGGUGAUUGAUGACAACAUGUUUGCGGACUAAUCUUGUGCUUUGAAUAAUUCACAGAUUCUCCCCUGGCACGAGACGCUUUCUUCCCCUCGGAGUGUAUUUCAAGACGGUGUAGCUCUUUCGUUUCUUUCUCAGUGGACUACUUGCGUAGAGGGCACCGUACUAUCAAGAGGGGGUCCGCUGGGGUACUGCAUGGGUGGAAUCAUCACGUACACAUCAGCUUCUCACCCUUCGAGCAUUUCCUUUCCAUUGAAGAGAUCUCUCCUCUCUCUUCCUUGUCCUGUCUGGGUCAAAGCGGUAGUACCACGCACCCAGCGGUAGUACCGCUGAGGAGCCACAAGCGUCAGUACCGCUCUGCAGCGGUAGUACCGCCCGUGGCUCCACAGCAGUAGUACCGCUGGGGGCCUGGCACCUCCACCUUGUCCUCAGCAUCUUUGAGAGAUUUCUUCUCUCUCUCGCGCGCGCCCCAGCGGUAGUACCGCACUGCCUGCGGUACUACGGCCGAAGGGUCACAAGCGGCAGUACCGGUCCACAGCGGUACUACCGCCCUUGACCCCACUGUCGUAGUACCGCUGGGCAGUCUGGCUCCUACCGCCUCGAUUCGAGAGGUCUUUUUCUCAUGUCGGGUUUUGCGACACUAGUCACGGUUGUAGUGGCGGUAGUACCAUUCCAGGAGCGGUAGUACCGCCCUACCACCGCGGUAGUACCGCAUUUGGGUCCGUUCCCUACUAGUCUCCUCAGCGCGGCAGUACCGCUGGCUGGCGCGGCAGUACCGUUGUCCUGGCGGUAGUACCGCCCCCCUCAGCGAUAGUACUGCCCUAUGCGGGGCUGGUUGGUGGGGGGCAACGGGAUUGUUGCCCCCACUAUAAAAGGGAGUCCCCUUCUUCCUUCUCACCUACCUCUUCCUCCUCCAAGCUCCAUUUAUUGCUCAAGCUCCAUUAAAUACUCCAAGCUCCAUUUUCGCCCGAACUAUCUCUCUAGCCAAUCAAACUUGUUGAUUUGCUCGGGAGUGGUUGAGAAGGCUCCGAUCUACACUUCCACCAAGGGGUUUUCGAUUCCCCCACUCAUCCCUAGCGGAUCUUGUUACUCUUGGGUGUUUGAGCACCCUAGACGGUUGAGGUCACCUCGGAGCCAUAUUCCAUUGUGGUGAAGCUUCGUGGUCUUGUUGGGAGCCUCCGAUUAAGUUGUGGAGAUUGCCCCAACCUUGUUUGUAAAGGUUCGGUCGCCGCCUUCAAGGGCACCAAUAGUGGAAUCACGGCAUCUCGCAUUGUGUGAGGGCGUGAGGAGAAUACGGUGGCCCUAGUGGCUUCUUGAGGAGCAUUGUGCCUCCACACCGCUCCAACGGAGACGUACUUCCCUUCAAAAGGAAGGAACUUCGGUAACACAUCCUCGUCUUCACCGGACCCACUCUUGGUUAUCUCUUACCUUUAUGUGUGCAAGCUCUUCAGUGUUUUUUCCCUUGCGUGCUUGUAUGCUUGUUGUUAUUGCAUUAUAUAGGUUGCUCACCUAGUUGCACAUCUAGACAACCUACUUUGAUGCAAAGUUUAAUUUGGUAAAGAAAAACUAAAAAUUUGUAGUUGCCUAUUCACCCCCCUCUAGUCAACCAUAUCGAUCCUUUGAAUUGGUAUCAGAGCCUCGUCUCUUUAUUAAGGACUUUACCGUCCAAAGAGUAUGGUUGAUACCGUAGACGGUGUGGAGGAACACUCUGGUGUGAAUCCGAUCUCGUCUACGGGAGAUGGGGGAACUUCGGUCUCUCGUGAGGAGUUCAAUGUGGCCUUGGAGACAUUGAAAACCUCCAUGAUGACCGAAGUUGAAAGCAUGUUUACUAAAUUUCUUGAGGGGCUUAAACUAUCCACCGCACCGUUGAAAGUGGGUGAUCCCGCCAACAAAGUGACGGAUGCUAUCCCCGACAAGGGGGAAGCUAGUAGUGAAAAGGCUCCUUCUUCUAGUGGCAAGAAUGGCACCGACAUCUUUGCCCAUGUGGAACCACCACUUGUUUAUGGUGGACCGGUUCCUUCCACUCAUUUGAAUCAUGCCGGUCCUCCCCUAAGAUUGUGAAAAAUGAGGAUUUUGAUUCUUGGGUUUACCGCUUUAAACUUCAUUUAAAUCAUGUGAACACUAACCUUUGGAGAAUCAUUGAAGAAGGUUUCUAUCCACAUGAUCCAAGCAACUUCACUCCUCGAGAAGCCGCGGACAAUCAAUUCAAUGAGAAUGCUCUCUUCAUCAUUCAAGAUGCAAUUCCACCCGAAGACCUACCUCAUCUUCGUCCCUUCGCCUUGGCCAAAGAUGCAUGGCAUUGUGUCGUGUCUCUCUACCGGGGAAGCACAAGCAUUCAACGCUCCAACUAUGAAGUGGUACAAGAUGAGGCCAAUGAGUUUGCAAUGAAGGAAGAUGAAGAACCUCGUGAGCUUUAUCGGAGAGUAACCAAACUCGGGGUCUCACUACGAGAUCACGGGAGCAAGGACACGGAUGACAAUUGGAUCAAGCGCAAAUUCCUCAAGGCAAUGAUGCCCUGUCAUUCGUCAAAGACCGGACUUCCACACUUUGACCUCAAGCGAAGUGUUGGAUGAGUUUGUGGCCAUGAACAUUUUGGACAAGACCGCUGACAAUGCGGUGCUCCGUUCUCAACGGGCAAAGAAGCCUAACCUUGCAUUGAAGGCCAAGCUCACCGUGGAAGAAGAAGAAGAGGAAUAAGAGGAGAGCAACCCCGAAGAUACGAAGUAUGCAUAUCAUGAACACAUGGCACUUGCUUCAAGGCAAUUUUGGAGCAAGAAAAACUCGAGGCCAAACUUUAGCAAAAACAACUCGAGUGGCACAAGGGGCAAGCAACGUGUAAGGACUUGCUACAAUUGCGGCAACGUGAGUCAUUUCGUUGCGGAAUACCCGUAUGAGAAGAGGGAAGACAAUGGUGGCAAACUCAUCCGAAAGGACAAGGCCAAGUCGUUCCCGAACAAGAACAACUUCACCAAGAAGACUCCUCCCAAGGCUUUGGUUGUGCAAGAAGAGUACAAUGAGGAUGAUGACGAUGAUGAAGAUGAUGAGUCGGUUGCCAUGGCCUCCGUUGCCAUUGCAAGAACGUCACGGGUGUCUCUCUUCGACUCACCCAACGAGAGCAUCAUCGCCAAGUGCCUCAUGGCUAAAGCCACCAACAAGGUAACCUCCAACAUCAAAACUACCAUCAUUAAUCAUCCUUCCCCAACGGAUAGCAUUAAUGAACUUGAGGGAGCUAAUGUGGAGGCUAAUGAGUUUGAGGCCUUUAUGGGCAAACUCAAGGUAAAAUCCAAGAAGCACUUUGUUGCUCUCUUAGAACAACUUGGUGAGGCCAAUGACAUGAUCGAGGCUCAUGAAGACACCAUCUCUAAGAUGGAAGGGCAUAGUCGUGACUAUGCCGAUGAGAUUUUGGAUCUUUCCAAUGCUCUUGAGGAAGAGUGUGGUCUUCGUUUGGCUCUUGAGGAGUCACACAACGUUGAUCAUGCUAAGUUAAAGAAAGAUUAUGAUCAUGCCCUCAUUGUUUCUCGUGUGCUAAAUUCCGAGAAGGCCAAACUCGGGGUUGAUCUUGCUAGACUCAAAGAGGAGUUUGAUAUACUUGACAAGGCCCACAAGGCCUUGAAGGGUAUUCACGCUAGUCUCAAGGAGUCUCAUGAUCAACUCCAAGUGAAGCUAACUAAGGAGAAAGCAACUUUUCCUCAUAUGGUUUUAAUUGAUAAUGCAAAUGCUACUAACCCGUGUUGUGAGCAUAUACAUUUUGUUGAGUAAAAUGCUAAGUUGAAGGAGCAACUUGAGAGAGGUCUUGCGACUUGCAUACAAGGCAAGAAGAACCUCAACGAUCUCUUGAUCAACCAAAAGAGAGGUGUGGCCAAGGAAGGGGUUGGGUACGUGCCUGACUCCAAGAACAAGAAGAAGAAUGACAAGACCAAACGACCUCCUCCCCUCAUGCAAACCUUUGUGAGGGAGGGAGAGAGUGCCCCCCAGGAGAAGAAGAAGAACAAUGUCAAGAAGGGCAAUGUCACUCCUCCCAACAAAGCCGGCGAUUUUAAUCCUUCUUAUGUGUUAUGUCGUGCUAGUGAUGGGCAUGUUUAUGCCAAAUUUGUUGGUUCUCUUCAUGAGUACAUUGAAUGGUCUAUUUUGGGUUCCUAAGACCCUUGUUACUAACAUCAAAGGACCCAUUACAAAAUGGGUACCUAAAACCAAGCAUUGAUCUCUUGUAGGUGUUUGCUUCCGGUGGUGGAUCAUGGUUGCUCGAUAGCGGAGCUACAAAUCAUAUGACCGGAAGCAAGGACUUGGUGGUGGACAUGCACAAAGUUCCAUCUAUGCCCACCAAUGUCGAGUGGGGUGACGCCUCAUCCUCUAAGGUAUUGGGACUUGGCAAGGUGGUCAUCUCUCAUGAUCUCACGAUCGAGAAGGUCAUGCUUGUUGAGUCCCUUGCAUACAACUUACUUUCCGUUCGUCAACUUGCAAUCAUGGGCUUUGCCACCUUCUUUGAUAUCGAUACCGUGGCCCUCUUGUGGAGCAAGACUCUUAAAGUAGCUUUUGUUGGGCAUGUCGAGAACGGUCUAUAUGUGAUUAACUUUUCAGAGCGACCCACUAAGACCGCGACAUGCCUAAUGGCUAAAGUUGAUGUGGGAUGGCUUUGGCAUCGCCGUUUAGCCCAUGUCAAUAUGAGAUCUUUGCAAAGUCUCCUCAAGGGGGACCAUGUCCGUGGACUAACGAAUGUUAGUUUUGUUAAAGAUCAUGCUUGUAGUGCCUGUAUCGAAGGAAAGCUACAUGAGAAGGCUCACCCUCCCACGACUAUCAUUUAUUCAAAGAGGCCCUUGGAGCUCCUUCACAUGGAUCUUUUUGGGCCCCCAUCCUUCGGUAGACUUGGAGGUAGGAAGUAUUGCUUGGUGAUUGUGGAUGAGUACUCAAGGUACACGUGGGUGUAUUUCUUCAAGAGGAAGAGCGAGACCCAACAUACCGUCAUUGACUUUGCAAAUGAAGCACAACGUCAACACAAUGCAAAGAUCUUGACAAUAAGAAGUGACAAUGGCACCAAGUUCAAGAACUACACCUUGGAUGAAUUUCUUAGUGAUGAGGGAAUCAAGCAUCAAUAUUCCACACCAUACACCCCUCAACAAAACGGUGUUGCGGAGAGGAAGAACCGGACGUUGAUGGAUGCGGCAAGGACCAUGAUGGCGGAGUUCAAGUCUCCGUACAACUUUUGGGCCGAAGCCAUCAACACCGCGUGUCAUGCAUCCAAUCGGCUCUACCUCCGCAAGAGCUUGAACAAGACUCCAUAUUAGAUACUCACUGGUAACAAGCCCAACCUCAAGUACUUCCGGGUAUUCGGGUGUAAGUGUUUCAUUCUCAAGAAAGGUGUUCGGUUGUCUAAAUUUGAGGCUAGAGCCUAUGAGGGCAUAUUUGUUGGUUAUGCUACAAACUCUCAUGCUUACCGUGUCCUCAAUAAAUCCACAGGACUUAUUGAGGAGACGUGUAACGUGGAGUUUGAUGAGAAUAACGGCUCCCAAGUGGAGCAAAGUGGCACUUGUGAUGUAGGUGAUGAAAUUCCUCCUCAAGCCAUAAGAAGAAUGGGUGUUGGUUUCAUCCUACCCAUUGAGGAACCCCUUGUGGCCGAAGGAGAAGGACAAUGCUCCACUCAAGUGGAGCCAUCACCAACCCAAGGCCCACACGCUUCCGAAGAACAAAGUGAAGGCCCUCAACCUCAUGAACAAGACCAAUGGCAAGAUCAUACUCAAGGCGGUGUUGACACACCAAGUGAUGCCCAAGGUCAAGUUCUCUCCCCCGAGCAAGUUCAAGAUCAAGAACAAGUUCAUGACGGUGCUCAAGAUGAUCAAGUAACCGCUCCUAAACUCACCACCGAGGAGGAAUUAGAGCGUCGUGCCGCCAAGGUUGCUUCCAAGCUCUCCACCAAGGAUUAUCUCAUGACGAAUGUGCUUGGAAGCUUAAGAAAGGGGGUAAGCACUCGUAGACAAUUAGCAAAUUAUUGUGAGCAUCACGCGUUUGUCUCUUGUGUGGAACCCCACAAGGUCUAUGAGGCGCUAGAAGAUCCGGAUUGGCUCAAUGCCAUGCAUGAAGAACUCAACAACUUCGAGCGCAACAAAGUGUGGAGAUUGGUGCCAAGGCCAACGGGGAACCACAAUGUCAUUGGAACCAAGUGGAUAUUCAAGAACAAGCAAGAUGCCCAUGGGAUUAUCAUUCGCAACAAGGCUCGUUUUGUAGCACAAGGCUACUCCCAAGUCGAGGGUAUUGACUGCGGUGAAACCUUUGCUCCCGUUGCUCGUCUUGAAUCCAUUCGCCUGUUGAUUGCAUAUGCUUCUCAUCAUAACUUUAAGUUACAACAAAUGGAUGUGAAGAGUGCUUUUCUUAAUGGUCCCAUUAAUGAAUUGGUUUACGUCAAGCAACCCCCCGGGUUCGAGGAUCCCUACUUUCUCGAUCAUGUGUAUCAACUCGAUAAGGCACUCUAUGGCCUUAAACAAGCCCCACGUGCGUGGUAUUACCACCUUACUGAGUUGUUACAAGAUCGUGGUUUUGAAGUUGGGCUAAUCGACCCCACUCUUUUUACUAAGAAGGUCAAAGGGGAGUUGUUUGUGUGCCAAUUAUAUGUUGAUGAUACUAUCUUUGGUUCUCCUAACAAAGCUUUCAAUGAGGAAUUUUCCGCUCUCAUGACCUCAAAGUUCGAGAUGUCCUCCAUGGGAGAGUUGAAGUUCUUUCUAGGGUUCGAAGUGAAGCAAAGAAGAGAAGGAACCUUCAUCAAUCAAUCCAAAUACACCCAAGACAUGCUCAAGAGAUUCAAGCUAAGUGACGUCAAGCCGGCCUCCACUCCAAUGCCCACCAAGUGCCAACUUGACUUAGAUCCCAAUGGUAAAGUGGUGGAUCAAAAGGUAUAUCGUUCCAUGAUUGGAUCCUUGCUUUACCUUUGUGCAUCUAGACCGGACAUCAUGUUGAGUGUGGGAAUUUGUGCACGAUUUCAAGCCGCACCUAAGGAAAGUCACUAUGUGGCGGUUAAACGAAUCUUUCAAUAUUUGGCUCAUACCCCAAACUUUGGCUUAUGGUACCCAAGAGGAUCAAACUUCAAGCUUGUAGGGUACUCGGAUUCCGAUUGGGCGGGAGACAAAGUGGGUAGGAAGUCCACUUCUGGAGGGUGCCAAUUCCUUGGUUGCUCUUUGGUAAGUUGGUCUUCCAAAAAGCAAAGUUGUAUGUCUCUCUCGUCCACUGAGGCGGAGUAUGUUGUCGCCGGUAGUUGUUGUGCACAACUCCUAUGGAUGAGGCGAACUUUAAAGGAUUACGGUGUCACUUGUGACAAAGUGCCUCUUUGGUGUGACAAUGAAAGUGCCAUCAAGAUUUCUCUCAACCCAGUGCAACACUUCAAGACGAAGCAUAUUGAGAUUCGGUAUCACUUCGUCCGGGAUCACAUUAGGCGAGGAGAGAUCGAGCUCAACUAUGUCAACACUCAUGACAACCUUGCAGAUAUUUUCACGAAGCCCUUGGAUGAAGCAAGAUUUCGCGAGUUAAGGCAUGAGCUAAAUAUCAUUGAUUCGAGCAAUGUGGCUUGAACCCGUGCACACCCUACCGCGCUCAAUUUGUUGUCUAGUUUAGGUGUAGGCAUGGACAUAGGGGGAGUGUUGUUCUCUCAAUGAACUCUCCCUCCCCCCAUUAUGCAUAAAUUCAUCAAGUCUUUCACUUUAGCCAUUGUUGAUGGCACUUGUGCUUCAAAGACGAGUUUUGGUCAUGGGCCCAAGGUUAAAAUCUUUGCGGUGCCAUACCUUUUGACUCAAACAUAGGUGGCCUCGGCCACCGCCCUCUUUUGCAGAGGUGUGUCUUGGUCGUUUGCUGGUGUGUUUUCUCUUGCCGUUUUUGUCGUUUCGUCGAGCUAAAGCCGUGUUUGUUUAGUUGUCGUGGCGUGCUGGGCGGUACUACCGCUGGUGGUGCGCGGUACUACCACUCGUAAGCGGUACUACCGCCCCCCAGCAUGGUACUACCGCCAGGGGACGAGAACAGGGGGUUAAGUCGGGGCAGGGGGAGGUUUCUUCUCCCCCAUACCCAUUCACUUCGCCCCUCUUUUCUCUUCCUCUCUCCAGCCUCCACUCGCCGCGGGAGGGCUCCGGCGGGUCUCCAUCUCCGGGGCAUCCCUCUCCAUUUCCUUUGGUGGAGUCGUUCCCCACCUCGUCCUCUUGCCAUGGAUGCCGGUAUUGCCCCCGUUCCUUUUUUCGUUUUGUCUCUUUUUCAGUUCUUGUUUCUUAGGGGCAAUGGUGGUUGCAUCUCUAGAUUUUUUGCUAAAUCUAGGCUUGAGUUGGUUGGAGAAGGCAACUAGACUAUCUCGAUUAGGUAGGAUUAUUUUUGAAUUUGGUAGGCCGGCAGUGCCGGAUCUGACCACGGUAGUAGGAACCCGUUGUUUCACCGCCUCGUGCUAUAAGAAACUGUUGUUUCUCCGCCUCAAGCAGUACUACCGCUCUCUUUGGAGCGGUACUACUGCUUGACCUAGAGCGGUACUACCGCUCCCUUUGGGGUAGUACUUGUCUUGGUUCGAAGUCUGACAGUAGUGUAGGGGGGUAAGUAUGGAGAGGCAAGAUCUUAGCUGUGGGGAGUUGUAAGCACGCAAGGUUUACGAGUUCAUGCCCUUCUCGGAGGAAGUAAUAGCCCUACAUCUCGGAGCCCGGAGGCGGUCGACUGGAUUAUAUGAAUAUGGGUUACAGAGGUGCGAACCCUUAUCUCGGAGGAGGGGGUGGCUUAUAUAGAGUGCGCCAGGACCCCGGCCAGCCCACGUUACAAAGGGUUCAAUGUACAUUAAGGCAGAACAUUACUGGUAACGCUAGUAAUAAAGUGCUAUGAUGACCAUAAAAGCUACUUAAUGACCGACCGUUAGCGUGCGGAGUGACUUCAGGCCUCCUGGCCGUCGAGUGGUUGGAUCUUGGUCGAGUGAUUGUUUCUUGGUCGAGCGUCUUCGAGUCUGUCGAGUGGAACACCUCCAAGUCGAUUGAAAGGUAGUUUAUUCUAGAGAUGUCCUUGGGUAGAGCAGUUAGGACAGGCCCAUGACCCUACCCUAGGUACAUAGCUUCAUAAUUAUCCCCCGAAUGGAUCGAGGUUUGAGUGGGGAAGGAGUUGAGAACCCCUCUGACUCGUUUUUCAUGCUGUGAGCAUAUCUUGUUCCGGAUCAAUGGACCUGAGUGAUGACAGCAACUUCCUUUUUAGUCGCCUUGACCCAUUCUUAAUUCUUCGUCGAGUGAGUUUCUUCGCUUGUAAGGCUCCGAGUGACGGUGCGGAGGAGAUCUUUGGUCUGACCAGUUGUUUGCUGCGCGCAGAUUUCGCGGGAUCUGAAUUUUGGGAAGCGCGCGGGACGGGGGAGGCUGCAGUAAUUGGAUGGGAUAGAGCGGAGCCGCCUCGAUCCCCGCGCCACCUUUUUCGCCACGUAUCGCGCGCGCGGUCGUUACGGGAUUUGACAGAGCCGCCUGGGCCUACCCGUCAGCCACUCGGAAGCGGCCUGAUAUAAAGCGCCGGACCGGGGUCUCCUGAACAGUGCAUCUCAUUUCCUCUUCUCUUCCUCACGCCCCUCCGCUGUGCUCGCUCUCGCCCCAGCGCCACCGCACCAUACGCGUCUCGCCGGCGACAAUGGGGAAGGAGAAGACGGCGGCUCUGGAGCGGGCAAAGAAGGCGACAGCAAGGUCGAAGGGGAAGGCGUCCAGCCGGGGCGGAUCUUCCUCGCGGUCCGGCCUGCCGAGGGGCUAGAUCCAGGGCGACUGGAUCCACUCGAGGAUCUCCCAAGAAGACCUCGACGACUUGGCCGAAGGGGGGCUGAUCCCCUACGACUCGGCGCGGCUUCCGGGGAAGGAAUCUGAGCCGCAGCCUCGGGAGGGUGAGCGUGUCCUUCUUGCCACCCACGUCGACCGUGGAUUUUCCUUGCCCCCUCACCCCUUCUUCCGAGGGUUUCUGAACUUCUUUGGGGCACAAAUCCAUCAUUUUACCCCCAACUCAAUCGUUUAUCUUGCCGCUUUCAUUUCUUUGUGUGAGAACUUCCUGGGUUAUCAGCCUCACUUGGGUCUCUUCAAGCAUAUUUUCACUUGUCGCUCCCAGACAGUGAAAAAGGCUAAUCCGAGUGACGAGAGGACCCAAGUGAUCCAGAUGUGUGGGGGUCUUGGCAUCCAGACGAGAGGGAAAAGCUCCUUCCCAGCCAUGAUUCUUCCCGACUCAGUUCGUGGAUGGCAGUCGACCUGGUUUUACUGUAAAGACCAGUCGGUGCCAGGGCAAUCGACUGGCCUCCCUCCCUUUACCAUGGACCGAGUGGAAAAACCCUCCCUUUUGAAGGUGCUCCCGGAGGAGAAGGCGCACGUGAAGGUGCUGGUCGACCAAGUGGUCCAGCUUAUUCACGACGGGGUCACUGGUAUGGAUCUCUUGGAAGUCUUCCUUCAGCGGCGCAUCCAGCCUCUCCAAGCGUGAGACCAUCCGAUGUGGAUGUAUUCGGGUCUUGAAAACUCCACUCGGAUCCACCUGGAGGAGGUCGACGACACACUGGAGAAGUGGCUGUCUGGCAUUACCGGGAAUAAGGACAAUCCCAGGGGGGCUAGGAGAGUCCCUCCAUUCGACCAGUCCCACGCACCCGAGCAGGUCUGAUUCUGAGUUUUUGCUUAUAAUCUGAAUUCACUCGCGUAGCUGCCUAUAUUGCGUCGACUGACUUUGAUCUACCUACUUUCUUUCAGGCCAUUAUUGAAAUGUAUUCAAUGCCCAAUGGGGAGUAGGAGCAAGCUCUAGAAGGCGAGGCGAGUGGCGGCGAAAGCGGCGAGUGGACUUCCGAUGGUGAAGGGGAUGGAGGGAGUGACGGCUCAAGUGGUGGAGAAGAAGUCGAGUCGCCUCCUUGCAGGGAGAGGCGAUCCAAGCUUGACCAAGAAUGGCCGAGUGCCCGUGACAAGGCAACUGCUCCAGGUGGUCAGUCUUCGAAGCGCCCUCGGAUCUCUUCGCCAACCCCGACUGAGAAGGCGCCAAAGCACCCCAGAGUUGUAGAGCCGAAGACUCGGAAGGCGUUACCGAAAAUCAAGAUUGAUACCCAUCGCUUCUGCGUGAGUGCCUCUCUUUGCAUUCACUUGACGCUCCGCGCUGUUUGUUUUUCUUGUUUUAACUGGACGAACUUUGGAACUGUCAGCGCUGCUACCUCCGGGACCUCAGCUUAUAGGGACGAAGAUGAGGUGAUGGAGGGCGCGGUCACUUCUAAUCCGGGUAUGAUCCCUGCCAUACUGUCUUUAUUUUGGUCGAUUCAACUGCAACGUGUACCAUUGGUUGAUGUGAAUUUAACGAUUGAACUUUGCAUAGAUCCCAAUGUUAUUGACCUCUUUGAUGAUGAUGAAGAGCCCGAGAGGCCUUCGACGAGGAAAAAUAGGUGAGCUCCUGCAAGCGGGGCGCUACAAACGACGCCGAGGGCGGAACUAGUUGUUCAGGACACUGGCGACAUCAAUCGGGGUUCUGUUACCUUCGCUGAGCCACUGUCGAGUGCCUUGCCUUCUUCGUCGACUGCUCAGGCCCCUGUCGACCCGCCUUCAGUUUUUGCGACCCAUCAUGUCCCAGAGGACAAGGUGAAUGCUGCUAAGGAAGCCAUACGCCAGGCGGACAUUAUGAUGGAGAAGAUGAAGACGGUGCGGGACGCCAGCCAAGCCGCCUAUGAUGCCAGCUCGCCUCUCCAGAGCAAUGUUCAGGUUAGUUGGUCGCCGCUUGUUCUGUUAGGAUAUGCUACCUGAAGAUUCUUUCCAAAAACCGUUGCAGCUGUACACCCACUGGAUGUGUCGAUUGAAUUUUUGGUCUAGUGGGGGCACGCUGAGUGCACCCACUGGGUGUAGUCCCCGAGACUACGGUGGACUGCUGGCAGUCGACUGUAGUCUUUGUAUUUUGCCGAAUGUAUAAACCGAACUGGUAGUUUAUCUCUUCCACUUGAUCUGGUCGAGUGGGAUCAGAACCGGUGGGGGCACGCCAAGUGCACCCACUGGGUGUAGUCCCCGAGACCGCGGUCGACUGCUGGCAGUCAAUUGUGGUCUGAGUUCUACUUUCUCUUUUUUUAUUCCCCUCACUCGACUCCGGCGGACCGGUCGAGUGGGAUCGGAACCGGUGGGGGCACGCUAAGUGCACCCACUGGGUGUAGUCCUCGAGACUAUGGUGGACUGCGGGCAGUCGACCGUAGUCUUAGUACUUAUUGCCUUUGUUGUUUUUUUGCUGUAAAAAUAACUUCUCCCCUUUGAUUUCAGAAAUCUUGUGAUCUUGGAGCUCGCUUUGCUGACUUGGAGAAGCAGCAGAUUCAACUGAACCUUGACUUGGAGCUGGCCAGGACAGAGCUGCAAAAGGUCAGAGACGGCACCGCAGGUAAGACGAUUUUGUCGAUUGGUCAGUUUUAGGCUUGAGUACCCUUCCGCUAUUUCUGAAUCAAUCAUCAUUUCUUUGCAGAAAAACUGAGAGGAGCUCUAGCGAAGAAGGAUCAGGAUUUGGCCGCUGCUCGUAAGGAGGCUGACGAUAAGACCGCUCUGGCCGAACAGAAGCUGGCUUCAGUCGGCCAGUUGGAAGAAGAGAAUACCAGGCUGAAGACCGCUCUGAAUGACUCCAACAAGGAGUGCUCGCGCUGGAAGAAGGCGAAUCUCGUCCAGGGCGAGAAAAUGGAAGGCAUUGCUCGCAGGAGGGAUGAUCUGGAGAGUUAUCUGAGAAGUCUUGCCAAGAAGCUGUUCAUCAAGCUUGAAGGUGCACAUUCUGUUCCGACUGACUUUUUUUUGAGUCGACUCAGUGUAUGAAAAUUGACUUAUCCUUGGAUCGUGAAUGCAGAGUUUUGCCAGAACUUUGAAGAGGAGACUAGGCGGAUCGAGCUUGGUUUGGAUCCAAUCAACUCUCCGUGAAAGAUGAAACUGCCAUGAAUCUGCUCCGUCUGGAAUCUCGCAUCGACAGUGCCGUGGACUACUUGGCUCGACUGAAGGUCGCCAUGUCGCGGAUUGACCCGACACUUUGGCCAGAGGCUGAGCUCCAAAAUGAUAUUGAGUCCCUGAUGACUCGACUAAAUGAAAUCCCCGAUCGAGUGCAGGAGUGGAAGAAGUCUGCUGCUCGGUGUGGCGCUGACGUGGCUCUGUCUUUGGUUUGUGUCCAUUGCAAGGAGGUGCGAUAGGACAAACUGCCAGCAAUCAAGGUCGCCAACACCCAGAAGCAUGACUUCCGAACCUUUAUGGAGACUUUCAUCGCUGCAGCCACUCGGAUAGCCGACGGUGUCGACCUGGAUGAGUUCGUCGAGCCUACCAGCCCUCCUCCCGCGGAGUGAACAAACUCUUAUGUCCCACCUUAAAUUUGCCUCGGAAUGUCGAGUGGUUUUUGUAACCGUUAAACUUUUUCGGGCUGCAUGUCCGAGUACUGCGAUCUGUGAUUUGGAACCUUUGGAAUUUACCCGAACUUGGUUUACCGUUGAAUAUCUUUAUGAAUCUCCAGCUGAGUGAACCCAUUCUUCAUUCGAGACAACUUUUGCAUUCACAGCGCAGCUCCGAAGGAGAGGGAAGCAGUCGACCUAUGUCUUGUAUUUGUGGCGAAGCUCCCCAGGAGAAGGCGGCGGUCGACCCACACCCUGUUACCGUAGAGUGGGAUGGAGCGCACAUUGUAUUUGUGGUGAAGCUCCCUAGGAGAAGGUGGCAGUCGACCUGCCCCUCGUCGUCCUUGAGGAAUGAGAUGUGUUUCGUACUUAGGCGAGUAUUGGACCGCAGCUAAGCCUCCGAGUGGGAGGAUUGCUCUCCACUCGGUAGGAUUUUUUCAAACUUAGGUGAGUGCCGGACUGCAGCUAAGUCUCUAAGUGAGAGAACUUAGGCGAGUGCUGGACUGCAGCUAAGUCCCCGAGUGGGAGGAUUGCUCUCCACUCGGUAGGAUUUUUUCAAACUUAGGCGAGUGCCGGACUGCAGCUAAGUCUCUAAGUGAGAGAACUUAGGCAAGUACUGGACUGUAGCUAAGCCCCCGAGUGGGAGGAUUGCUCUCUACUUGGUAGGAUUUUUUUAAACUUAGAUGUGUGCCGGACUGCAGCUAAGUCUCUAAGUGAGAGAACUUAGACGAGUGCUGGACUGCAGCUAAGCCCCCGAGUGGGAGGAUUGCUCUCCACUCGGUAGGGAUUUUUCAAACUUAGGCGAGUGCCGGACUGUAGCUAAGUCUCUAAGUGAGAGAACUUAGGCGAGUACUGGACUGCAGCUAAGCCCCCGAGUGGGAGGAUUGCUCUCUACUCGGUAGGAUUUUUUUUCAAACUUAGGCGAGUGCCAGACUGCAGCUAAGUCUCUAAGUGAGAGAACUUAGGCGAGUACUGGACUGCAGCUAAGCCCCCGAGUGGGAGGAUUGCUCUCCACUCGGUAGGAUUUUUUCAAACUUAGGCGAAACGGAUUCGCAGCUAAGCCCCCGAGUGGGAGGCUGGAUCGCCACUCGGUAGGAAAUUGUUUUUACAAACUUAGGCGAAGCGGAUUCGCAGCUAAGCCACCCACUGGGGGAUUUCUUAUGCAAACAAAAACAAUAAUAAUCACUGGGAAAAUUAUAACACUCUUGUCUUUGAUAAAUAAACUAUAGGAGUUUUUCUUAUUACAUCUCAUCCGAGUGAGAAUUUAAGUAUAAAAGGGGCGGAGUAGCUCCGCAUUCCAGGCUCGUGGCUCAUCAAUCUGGUGAUCGACAUUGUAGAGGUGGUAUGCUCCAUUGUGGAGGACUCUGGUGACUAUGAAGGGGCCUUCCCAAGUAGGAGCGAGCUUGUGUGGUUUCUGCUGAUCCACUCGGAGGACUAAGUCUCCUUCUUGGAAGGCUUGGCUCUUCACGUUUCUGGCAUGGAAUCAACGCAAGUCUUGCUGAUAGAUGGUCGAUCGAAUCAAGGCCAUUUAUCUUUCUUCUUCUAGGAGGUCGACUACGUCCUGUCGGGCUUGUUCUGCUUCAUCUUCUGAGUAGAGCUCGACUCUAGGAGCGUUGUGAAGCAGGUCACUCGGUAAGACUGCCUCAGCUCCAUAGACCAGAAAGAAUGGGGUUCUUCCGGUCGAUCGAUUCGGGGUUGUCCUCAAUCCCCAAAGGACUGAUGGAAGCUCGUCGACCCAUGCACCUGCUGCGUGCUUGAGAUCGCGCAUCAAUCGGGGUUUCAGUCCUUUGAGAAUUAGGUCGUUUGCCCUUUCUGCUUGCCCAUUCGACUGAGGGUGAGCGAGGGAAGCAUAGUCGACCCGAGUGCCCUGAGAGGCGCAAAAGGCCCUGAAUUUGUUGGAAUCGAAGUUUGACCCAUUGUCGGUGAUGAUGUUGUGCGGAACUCCAUAUCUGAAUAUCAACUCUCUGACGAAACUGAUAGCGGUGCAAGCAUCAAGAUUCUUGAUAGGCUUGGCCUCAAUCCAUUUGGUGAACUUGUCGACUGCUACCAGCACAUGAGUGAAGCCGCUCCUGCCUGUUCUCAGUGGUCCAACCAUGUCCAACCCCCAAACAGCGAAGGGCCAGACGAGUGGAAUGGUUUUCAGGGCCAACACGGGCUUGUGUGGCAUGUUGGAGUAAUACUGACAUCCUUCACAUUUGUCGACUAUCUCUUUGGCCAUCUCAUUGGCCCUUGGCCAGUAGAACCCCGCUCAGUAUACUUUAGCCACAACGGUCCGAGAGGACGCAUGAUGACCAUAGGUCCCCGAGUGGAUAUCGUUAAGGAUCAUCUGACCUUCUUCUGGUGUAAUACACUUCUGGCCCUCCCCAGUCGCGCUUUCUCUAUAUAACUGUCCCUUUAUGACUGUAAAGGCUUUGGAUCGACGGACGAUCUGUCAAGCUUCUUCUUCAUCUUCUGGGAGUUCUUUCCUUAGGAUGUACGCGAUGUACUGUUCUGUCCAGACGGGAGUGAUAACCAGGACUUCCAUGAUCAAGUCGACCACAGCUGGCACUUCGACUUCAGUCGGAUCCGUGGCACUUUUUGGCUGCGGGGCCUCUUCAGUGAAGGGAUCCUCCUGGACUGAUGGUGUGUGGAUGUGUUCCAGAAACACAUUGCUGGGAAUGGCUUCUCUUUUGGAACCUAUUUUUGCCAGAUCAUCAGCUGCUUGAUUUUUCAGUCGGGGUAUGUGAUGAAGCUCUAACCCCUUGAAUUUCUUCUCCAGUUUUCUCACUCCAUUGCAAUAACCAUUCAUGGCUGGACUUCUGACAUCCCAUUCCUUCAUCACUUGAUUGAUCACCAAAUCUGAGUCGCCAUAGACCAUGAGGCGACGGAUGCCGAGUGAAAUGGCCAUGCGCAACCCAUAUAAAAGUGCUUCGUAUUCUGCCUCAUUGUUAGAGGAAUCAAAGUGGAUUUGAAGAACAUAUCUGAGUUUAUCUCCUCUGGGAGAGACCAACACCACUCCGGCUCCGGAACCAUUUAUCAUCUUGGAACCGUCAAAGAACAUGGUCCAAUGCUCCGAGUGGACCUGAGUUGGCAGUUGCUGUUCAAUCCACUCGGCGACGAAAUCCGCGAUUGCCUAGGACUUGAUAGCUUUCUUUGCCUCAAACUUGAUAUCUAGAGGAAGGAGUUCAAUCGCCCAUUUUGCCACUCGACCAGUUGUGUCCCUGUUAUGCAAGAUCUCUGACAACGGAGCGUCGCUGACGACUGUAAUGGAAUGAUCAGAGAAGUAGUGGGCAACUUUCUUUGUGGUCAUAUAAAUCCCAUAUACGAGCUUCUGAUAAUGAGGAUAUCUUUGCUUCGAUGGGGUCAAGACUUCAGAAAUAUAAUACACUGGGCGCUGAACUUUGAAGGUUUUCCCUUCUUCUUCGCGCUCGACCGUGCGUACCGUUCUGACGACUUGUCCUAUGGCUGCAAUGUAAAGCAGCAAAGGCUCCUUGCUGAUUGGGGCAGCAAGCACCGGCUGGGUGGAGAGUAGAGCUUUGAGUUCUGCGAACGCUGCGUCAGCUUCAGGAGUCCACUCGAACUUGUUAGAUUUCUUCAUCAAUCGGUAAAGAGGUAAUGCCUUUUCACCGAGACGAGAUAUGAAUCGACUUAGGGCGGCCAAGCAACCAGUAAGCUUCUGAACAUCGUGCACUCGCACAGGACUUUUCAUUCGGAGUAUAGUACCAACUUUUUCUGGAUUGGCGUCGAUUCCCCGUUCAGAAACGAGAAAACCGAGUAACUUUCCGCCAGGAACCCCGAAUGUGCAUUUUGAUGGAUUAAGCUUGAUAUCAAACCUUCUAAGGUUGGCAAAGGUUUCAGCAAGGUCAGUCAGUAGGUCGGAACCCUUCCGUGACUUGACCACAAUAUCAUCCAUGUACGCCUCCACAUUCCGACUGAUUUGGGUGAGCAAACACUUCUGAAUCACCCUCAUGAAUGUGGCUCCGGCAUUCUUGAGGCCGAAUGGCAUGGUAACAUAACACAAGCACCCGAAUGGAGUGAUGAAAGUUGUUUUGAUCUCAUCAGGUCCAUACAGACGGAUCUGAUGGUACCCGGAAUAGGCGUCUAAAAAAGAUAGUCGCUCACAUCCCGCAGUCGAGUCGACUAUCUGGUCGAUGUGGGGGAGAGGAAAAUGGUCUUUCGGGCAGGCCCGAUUGAUAUGUUUAAAGUCAAUGCACAUGAGAAGUGACUUGUCCUUCUUGGGGACCAUGACAAUAUUGGCGAGCCACUCGGAGUGGUAGAUUUCUCGGAUGAACUCUGCCGCUAAGAGCCGAGCUACCUCUUCGCCAAUGGCCUUUCUCUUCUGGACGGCGGACCGUCGGAGAUGUUCCAUGACAGGUUUUACUUUUGAGUCGACUCUCAGGCGAUGCUCAGCCAGCUCCCUGGGAACACCUGGCAUGUCAGAAGGCUUCCAUGUGAAAAUGUCCCAGUUCUCAUGGAGGAACUGGAUGAGCGCUUCUUCCUAUUUGGAGUCGAGUGUUGUCGAGAUAUGAGUCGGAGCAGCGCCGGGAUCGGUCGGGUGGAUGUGAGUUGUCUUCGUAUCGCCAGUCGGCUGAAAAGCCGAUUCUGUGGCGGGCUUCUUGGCUCGCAACAAAUCACUCGGGUCUGCAGUCUUUUGGUAUUCCUGCAACUCCGCCACUGCCAUCUGAGCAUCAGUGAUCUUCGAACCUUUCUGAAAACAUUCUUCUGCUUUUUUCCGAUUGCCCGUAAUAGUGAUCACACCUUUGGGGCCAGGCAUCUUCAAUUUGAGAUACACAUAACAUGGUCGGGCCAUGAAGCGUGCAUAAGCCGGCCUGCCCAAAAUAGCGUGGUAGGCACUCUGAAAGUCUACAACUUCAAAUGUCAACUUUUCCUUGCGGUAAUUCUUGGAAUCACCGAAAACCACAUCAAGAGCAAUCUCGCCGAGUGAUUCAGCCUUCUUCCCAGGAAUGACUCCAUGGAAACUCAUGUUGCUGGCACUGAGUCUGGACAUCGGAAUGCCCAUCCCUUUCAACGUCUCAGCAUAUAAUAUGUUCAAACCACUUCCACCAUCCAUCAAGACUUUGGUCAGUCGAGUGCCUUCAACCACUGGGUCGACCACCAGAGCUUGCCUCCCAGGGGUGGCAAUAUGCGUUGGGUGAUCGGACUGGUCGAACGUGAUGGCAGUCUGAGACCAUUUCAAAUAACUUGGUGUUGUCGGAGCAACCAUAUUCACCUCUCGGUUGAUGACUUUCAGUCGAAUUUUGCUCUCAACAUCAGCAAAAAUCAUCAGGGUGGAAUCGACUUGGGGGUAUCCAUCGUUGCUAUCUUCUUUGUCCUCAAUUUUGUUUGACUCCUUUUCUUUAUCUUUGGGCUGCUUGCCCUGGAACUACUGGAUCAAGAGUCGACACUGUUGAGUGGUAUGUUUCGGGUAAAUAAAAUUACCCUCUUCAUCUUUCUUUGUGUGGACGAGGCAUGGCAAGUCCAACACAUCAUUUCCGUCCUGGUCUUUAACCUUUUUAGGGUUCCAAGGCCCUUUAGGUUUCCCUUUAAACUUUCCUUGGGUUAAAGCCAAGGCUUCCCUGGGAGCCGCUGGCUCGGCUUUCCGCUUCUGUUUCCGAUUGGAAUUGCCCCCGGGUUCUUGGGCGACUGACGUGAUUUUUCCACUCCUGAGCCGAUCUUCAUCUUCACCAUUAGCGUACUUGGUGGCAAUCUCCAUCAUCCGAUUUAGGGACAUAUCCCCAGUUUGAUCGAAUUUCAAAUUCAGUUCUCUGUACUUGACGCCUUCCUUGAAGGCACAAACUGCUUGGUGGUCAGGCACAUUCUCCACCGAGUGAUGUAACGUGAUCCACCUCUGGAUGUAAUCCCUCAAAGUUUCAUUUGGCUUCUGUACACAAGACCGCAGUUCCGUCAGUCCUUCCGGCCGCUUGCAUGUACCUUCAAAUGUGGUGACGAACACUCGGGAGAGAUCCUCCCAAGUGUAAAUGCUGCUAGGUGCUUUCUGGUUUAGCCACGCUCUGGCCGAGCCCUCCAACAUGAGAGGGAGGUGCUUCAUGGCCACUUCAUCAUUGCCGCCGCCGAUCUGGACGGCCACUCAGUAAUCUUCAAGCCAAGUAUCGGGCUUGGACUCGCCAGUGAACUUACUGACUCCAGUCGCCAACCUGAAGUUGGGAGGAAUCACAGCGGCCCUGAUGGCCCUACUAAAGCAUUCUGGCCCCGAAACAUGCACUCUCCUGCUGGUAGGUGCAUCUCUAUUGUGACCUUCUCGGUGAGCCCUGUUCCUGUCGACCAAACCCUAGACGAGAAUGGAUCUCGCGUCAAAGCCUGGCCCUCUGGGGUCGACUGGAAUCCUUCGCCCACCACUAUGAGGGCGCCUGUCAUCCUGCUGGCGAGGCACAUACGACCCGCUCCUCGGGGGAGGCGUGGGCACUCGACGUCGACCGUCACGAUCGACUUGGUGAUCAUACUGCUCAUGGUUCACAUACUGGUCUCACCGGUCACCACGUCCCUCACGCCUCAGGGGCGAUCUCGGGCUGUGAGCCAAUUGGACUGUGUCCGCGGCAACGGAUCUGCUGUGAAUCCUCUUCCGCGACUGAGAAACAUCGGAAUUCUGAUCUCCUGCUGCCCGGAGUAACGCUCUGAUCUGCAGCAAGCCUCUGCGAGCCUCCGACUGGGAAGGCUGAAUCGACUCUGCUAUGCGAGUUGCAGCUGCUAAAUUCUGAAUCGGAGUUCGAUAUACCUGCGGGGGCGGGAAGAGCUGACGUCGACUGGAUUCGGAAAUCCGUUGUCGCGCACGCUCGUCGAGUGCUCGCCGGAGGUUCUCCAGUCAAGUGCGCUCGGCUAAGUUUGCCAGGCGCGCGUCCUCCAAGGCGCGAGCCUCGGGGGUCUCUCCAACGAUAGGAGUGUGCAGUGCAUCCAUGUUCCGGCGGCGAAGUUCUUCUUUCUGCAGCGAUGUGAGAGGCUCGGGAAGAUACUCCUCAUGGAGACGCGACGGGUCGCCUCCACCCGCGCCUCCGUCGGUACGGGGAAAACCGGGAGGACUGGGCGGUCCAUCGACCAUCAGAACCUCCGCCGCCGGAUCGCUGCUGUCGCACUCGGAUGCGGUCUCUGCGGAGCCAGUCGACAUGUCGAACAUGCCGUAGAGGGAUUCGUUGGGCUCGAUCGCCGCGACCUGGGGGGUGGCCGACUGACGCGCCACCGCGUGCCUCACCCACCGCUGAAGUCUUGACCGACCGGAACGCUUGCGCCGGCGGGAAACGGGGAGUGAGGACAACACAGGAGCCGACCGAUAGGGGGUCGACGGUUGCCGCAGGAGAACGCCGCGGACGCAUGCGCUAAAGUGCGUUGCCCCGCGAGCAGGGAGUGCAUCCACAUCAAGCGGAGCCUCCUGGAGCCAAGCAGAGUCGUCGACGAUGAACGUGAGUGCGCCGAGACGGAUCUCGCGGCCCUCCACCAAAACUCCGCCGAAAACCAUGAUGAUUCGGGUCGGAAAAAGUCGCAACUUCUCCAACAAACGCUAAAACACCUGCCCCAAGGUGGGCGCCAACUGUCGUGGUUCUAAGUCUGACAGUAGUGUAGGGGGGUAAGUAUGGAGAGGCAAGAUCUUUGCUGUGAGGAAGUUGUAAGCACGCAAGGUUUACGAGUUCAGGCCCUUCUCGGAGGAAGUAAUAUCCCUACGUCUCGGAGCCCGGAGGCGGUCGACUGGAUUAUAUGAAUAUGGGUUACAGAGGUGCGAACCCUUGUCUCGAAGGAGGGGGGUGGCUUAUAUAGAUUGCGCCAGGACCCCGGCCAGCCCACGUUACAAAGGGUUCAAUGUACAUUAAGGCAGAGCGUUACUGGUAACGCUAGUAAUAAAGUGCUAUGAUGACCAUAAAAGCUACUUAAUGACCGACCGUUAGCGUGCGGAGUGACUUCAGGUCUCCUGGCCGUCGAGUGGUUGGAUCUUGGUCGAGUGAUUGUUUCUUGGUCGAGCGUCUUCGAGUCUGUCGAGUGGAACACCUCCAAGUCGAUUGAAAGGUGGUUUCUUCUAGAGAUGUCCUUGGGUAGAGCAGUUAGGACAGGCCCAUGACCCUACCCUAGGUACAUAGCUUCAUCAGUACUACCGCUUGGGGCGGUACUACCGCGAGCAGGUCACGGUACUACCGUUGCAUACCAAUUUCCAUCAUUUUCUUGCCUUACCUUGAUCUUUUUGUUGAGUUUGUUGGCUUAUGCUCGUUCUUUCUGGUUGUUUUGCAUGUUCUUGUGUUUGGCUCCAGGUGAUGACCUUUUCGAGCAGCAAGGUCGCCGUAUCAACCCCGGGCGUGCCACAUCAAAACGCUACCGCACCUCAGAGCCAGCCGGUGGUUCCUCGAGCACCCAACCACCUCCAGCAAGUGCAUUUGCAAGUGUUCCUCCACCUCCUCAGCCAUCGAAGCAAGCCGCCAACAAGCCAAAAGGGAAGACUAUGACUGAGAUGACCAACAAGGAGUUUUGGGAAAAGCGUCGCCGCAACCCCUAUGCGGUGGACCAAGAACCCACUUUGGUCAACCGCCCAUUCUGGAACUGUUUUCAGUUUGCCAUCUACUUUGAUGUGAUCAAGGCCAAGAAGAAUCUUUUUGUUAAUGUUCGCUCCAUUGACACUGAUGCUAUGGAGAAGGACCCAGAGUAUUUUGGCGAAGCUCUUCAGAUGUGCACUCAGCUGAACAUUCUCAGGAUCAUGCAAUUCAGUAAGGAUUUCGAUGCGGAUUUGGUGGCUCAAUUCUAUGCCGCCGUCCAUCUUGGGACGGAUGUCGACAGGACUCUGACAUGGAUGACCAAUGGCAAGCUGCUUUCUGUCAACUGUAAGGCUUUCAUGGAGUUACUUGAUGUGGUGGAUACCGGGCUUGAGACUCCUGUCGGGUUCCGCCCUCACCGCAAUGCUACGUCCACCCACAAGCAAGCCCUUUGGCCCUACUGCACUGUGAAGGUUCACCCAGUAACUGAGAAGAAGACCUAUGAGCUGUCUCCAUAUCUGGACAUUCUUCAUCGCAUAUUCCGUGAGACUCUCUCCCCUCGGAUCGGGAAUCUGGAUAUGGUCCACUCUUACCUCGUGGACAUGCUCCUUUUCUGUCAGCAUGAGAAGGAAGCAAGCACUAGAGAGAGCCUGGAUAUCUCUCAUGUCAUGUGGUCUGAACUUGUAUCUGCCUUGUCUAAGCGCAAGUGUCCUAUCUAUGGUCCAUUCAUCAUGAGGCUCAUUGAGAGGGCCUGGGCACAGACUUAUCCCAGAGUGCUGCUAGAGACUGGAGACUUGGUUUCUCAUGAGAUCAAGCGUUUGAGGAAGAAGGACAACUGGACAGCGCCUCACACAGGGGGUCCAUAUGCUACUGCUGCCAUAGGGGGUCCGUCUGCUGUUGCUGCUGCUGCCAUGGGGACCAUGAGUGAGGCUCCUACUGAUGCUCAUGUGGAGAACUUUGGCCCCUCUAGUGCAGAACCGCCGUGGGCACAGAAGCUUAAGCGCAAGAUGAAGAAGCUUUUCUGCAUAGAGUCUCAUGGUCAGUACAUGACUCAUAUGGCAGAAAAGCAUGUCAGGACGCGCCACAAGGAGCUCAUGCGUCAGAUGGGAGAAACGGUUGUCAGUGGGUCUGAGGGUCAGAUCACUGAAGAGGAGGACUGGAUUCAUCAGAAUUGCCACUGGACCGACUCCGAUCCGAGCAGUUUUCGACCCACGAUGAAGAUGCAGAGAUGUGAUGUUCGAGAUCUUCCUCCUCCCAUCACCUGGAGUCGUAGUGUCACUCUAUGCCCUUUUUGGUGUCUCGCUGCCAAAGGGGGAGAGAGUGUAGGGUUUUGCUUCUUGUGUCGUGCUUUGAGUCGUCUUGUGGUUUUUUGUAUGUUCUCUUGGCGUCCUUCUUGUUCUCUCGGUGUCCUUCUUUGGUUUGGUUUGGUGUGAGACCUAAGUUCUACUCAUAUGGUGUGAGACAUAUGCUCCCUAUCGCUACCUUGUUACUUAUGUCAUUUCAGAGUACUGUAGUUUAUUGUGAGAUGCAUGCUUGUCCUGUUUAUUCACUUCUCUCAUAUAUCUUGUGCUUAGUAUUGUUGGACUAUAAAAUAUAGGGGGAGUGUUGAUCCGAAUAUGUGUGUCGUGCCAUCUCUUGGUGCACACAUUCUGAGGGAGCCCGUCUAUAUUUUGUAGUUCUUAGCUUUAUUUGUUUUAUUUUUUUUCCUUGCGCAAAUCCCACCAAAAAAGGGGAGAUUGUUACGGCAUAUCUCUCUCAAGGUAGUUUUGGUGAUUGAUGACAACAUGUUUGUGGACUAAUCUUGUGCUUUGAAUAAUUCACAGAUUCUCCCCUGGCACAAGACACUUUCUUCCCCUCAGAGUGUAUUUCAAGACGAUGUAGCUCUUUCGUUUCUUUCUCGGUGGACUAGUUGCGUAGAGGGCACCGUACUAUCAAGAGGGGGUCCGCUGGGGUACUGCAUGGGUGGAAUCAUCACGUACACAUCAGUUUCCCACCCUCCGAGCAUUUCCUCCAUUGAAGAGGUCUCUCCUCUCUCUUCAUUGUCCUGUCUGGGUCAAAGCGGUAGUACCGCUGAGGAGCCACAAGCGGCAGUACCGCUCCACAGUGGUAGUACCGCCCGUGGCUCCAUAGCAGUAGUACCGCUGGGGGCCUGGCACCUCUGCCUUGUCCUCAGCAUCUUUGAGAGAUUUCUUCUAUCUCGCGCGCGCCCCAGCGGCAGUACCGCACUGCCUGCGGUACUACGGCUGAAGGGUCACAAGCGGCAGUACCGCUCCACAGCGGUACUACCGCCCUUGACCCCACUGCCGUAGUACUGCUGGGCAGUCUGGCUCCUACCGCCUCGAUUCGAGAGGUCUUUUUCUCGUGUCGGGUUUUAUGGCACUAGUCACGGUUGUAGUGGCGGUAGUACCGUUCCAGGAACGGUAGUACCGCCCUACCACCGCGGUAGUACCGCAUUUGGGUCCGUUCCCUACUAGUCUCCUCAGCGCGGCAGUACCGCUGGCUGGCGCGGCAGUACCAUUGUCCUGGCGGUAGUACCGCCCCCUCUCAGCGGUAGUACCGCCCUGUGCGGGGCUGGUUGGUGGGGGGCAACGGGAUUGUUGCCCCCACUAUAAAAGGAGUCCUCUUCUUCCUUCUCACCUACCUCUUCCUCCCCCAAGCUCCAUUUAUUGCUCAAGCUCCAUUAAAUACUCCAAGCUUCAUUUUCGCCCGAUCUAUCUCUCUAGCCAAUCAAACUUGUUGAUUUGCUCGGGAGUGGUUGAGAAGGCUCCGAUCUACACUUCCACCAAGGGAUUUUCGAUUCCUCCACUCAUCCCUAGCGGAUCUUGUUACUCUUGGGUGUUUGAGCACCCUAGACGGUUGAGGUCACCUCGGAGCCAUAUUCCAUUAUGGUGAAGCUUCGUGGUCUUGUUGGAAGCCUCCGAUUAAGUUGUGGAGAUUGCCCCAACCUUGUUUGUAAAGGUUCGGUCGCCGCCUUCAAGGGCACCAAUAGUGGAAUCACGGCAUCUCGCAUUGUGUGAGGGCGUGAGGAGAAUACGGUGGCACUAGUGGCUUCUUGGGAAGCAUUGUGCCUCCACACCGCUCCAACGGAGACGUACUUCCCUUCAAAAGGAAGGAACUUCGGUAACACAUCAUCGUCUUCACCGGAUCCACUCUUGGUUAUCUCUUACGUUUACUUGUGCAAGCUCUUCAGUGUUUCUUCCCUUGCGUGCUUGUAUGCUUGUUGUUAUUGCAUCAUAUAGGUUGCUCACCUAGUUGUACAUCUAGACAACCUACUUUGAUGCAAAGUUUAAUUUGGUAAAGAAAAGCUAAAAAUUUGUAGUUGCCUAUUCACCCCGCUCUAGUCAACCAUAUCGAUCCUUUCACCGCCCCUCUUGCCCUCCGCCGCGUGAGUCGCCGUCCAGAUCCGUCGGUUCACGCGCCCUGCCGCCGGAGUUGCGCCCAGUCCCGCUGCCUCCCCUGCUUCGGCUGCAAGCACGCGAGGCGAGGUGGAGGCCGGGGCGGGGCGGCGGUUAUGGGAGGCGAAGGAGCUCGGGCUCGAGGGGCUCCUCCUCUCGAUCUAGAUCGGGCGCCGCCGUGCGUGGAGACGAUGAACAGUAGCGCCGGCGAAGCAAGGGGCUUUCUGCAAAAAGAAUGCCACAUCGACAGCUGACAUGCGGGCCCCGCCGGUCAGAUACACCGUCAAUACGCGUUUAUACGCGAUUUAGACCUUUUUGUAACGUCUAGCCCCAGACUUAGUACUGACACAUAAAAAUUAUCAAACUUGAUACCAAUCUGCUUCCAAUGCUCCAAUUGUGAUACUUAUGUGCAAUUUACUUCAUCGUCUGGCUUCAAAGUGAGUGAGUGGCGAGUUAUCGGUGGCACAAAGUACAGACCAUGCCUAAUACUCCGAGCUGGGAGUAAAAUCAUAACGUCUUCAGAAAUUUCGAGCUGGACAAGUUCACCACUCACCAUCCCAGGCUUUGAUUGAUGGAUUCCGUUUGAAACCCCGGACAUCCGUGGCCAGCACACGCACACCAAACUCGCAGGAGCCACAACUCAUUUCAACCCAUUUCUUAUCUUUUUAUCGCCGACAUGUCAUUACACUGACCUAGAAAGGUGUCAUUAGUCAUUACACCUAACCAAAUCCAGACCUAAGCAACGAGAGAAAGCACACAUUUAAACAGAAACCCACCUAAAAUCUUCGAAAAUUACACACAGCCCCACCUCCCCUCUUAUAAAACCCCUCACCCUCCCCCGUCCUCACCCCUCACUGACACUCCCAGCACUCGCACGCUCCAAGGCCUCACUCACCAGCGACACCCCGAAUCCAGCGGCGUAUGGCCUCCUCCACGAUGCCGCGCCGCGUCGCGCUGCUCCUGCUCCUCCUGGCAUCCACGCGCGCGGCGUCCGCGGCCGGCGCCGGCGCCUGCGCGGCCGAGAAGUUCCCGGCGGGGAAGACGUACGCCAAGUGCGAGGACCUCCCGCAGCUGGGCGCCGCGCUGCACUGGACCUACGACGAGGCCAAGUCGUCGCUCUCGCUGGCCUUCGUGGCGGCGCCGGCGGGGGCCAACGGGUGGGUGGCCUGGGCGCUGAACCCCACCGGCGAGGGCAUGGCCGGCGCGCAGGCGCUCGUGGCGCUCAAGGGCUCCGGCUCCGCCGCGCCCACCGUCAGGACCUACAACAUCACCGGCUACGUGCCGCUCGGCAAGGCCUCCACGCCCAUCGCGUUCCCGGCCACCGACCUCGCCGCCGACUCCGGCAGCGCCGGCAAGAUCCGGCUCUACGGCAAGCUGCAGCUGCACGGCGGGAUGAAGGCCGUGAACCACAUAUGGCAGGUCGGCACCUCCGUCACCGCCGGGGCCCCCGACAAGCACGCCUUCGCCGCCGGCAACCUCGCCUCCAAGUCCAAGCUCGUCCUCUCGGGCAAAGCGGCCUCCGCGACCUCGCCUUCGCCGGCGCCCGCCCCCAUGGCCGGCGGCCCGUCCGGAUCGGCCGGCAGCGACGGCGGCGCGGCGGCGACCACGGCGCCUUCCGCCGGCAAGUCCCCGUCGGGCGCGGCCGCGGCCGGCGUGUCGGCGCCGGCACUCCUCGUGCUCGCGUUGAUGGGCCUCCUCGCGGUAGUAUGAUGGCAUACAAUAUAUUUGUUCCAUUUUUGUCGAUCGAUCUUGCUGCCUAUUCUUUUUCCUAAUUUCGUUUGAAAUAAAAGAUGGUUGGUGUACGGAGCUGUUGUUUUUAGGUAUAUCGAGCUGUUGUUUUUGGGUAGACGUACGUAGUACGUAGUAUGUACUGCUAGCAGUCGGUGAUUAUUGUAGUGCUAUUGUGGUCGACAUGUCACUGAAUUUAUCAUAUGACUGAUAUAUUUUUUAUCAUCAGAGGAGUAUAAGUGUUUGGUAGCAAGUAGUAUCUCUUGCAUUCUGUGCAGUGCAGUUGCCCGAUCUGGCCUAGUGAUACACGCUGAUUCGAUUUGUUUAAAGCCCGGGCACCUUGUGAGAAGCACCAGCGUCAACUAGGGUCCCUGUCAUUCGCAAGAGUUGAAAUAUAGGAAUGCAAAAAAAAUUCACGGAUGAGAGUGUCAUGUACACUUGAUUGUGUAAACAAAAACACAUGAUUUGUUGGGCUUGAUGGGAAAUGCAGUCUGAAGUACAAAUGGAUUUUUAUGGUUUGCAAUUUCUACUAAUCAAAAUACACACCUAGAAAAAAAAUCAUAAGGAUUUGAAUCCUCCGGAAUUACUUUUAAAAAUUCUGUAGUCAAAAAGGCCUUUGCCUUUUUCCCGCAAAAUGAAAAGGCCUUUACCUUACAUUUUUUGAAGGGCAUCAUCUGAUUUAUUUAUUUUAUCGUAAGCACUGAGCAAGGGGGCAAUUGUGUCCCACAUUGGCAGGUCAUCAACAGGGAUUUCUAGGUGUGUUCACGUGCUCAUGCCAGUUCGGUUUGUUAAUGCUCCUGAGCCGGUCAGUGAGCCCAGCCCGAGACCCCGGGUAGAUAUUUUCUUUGUUACCGACACAAGCCCGACUACUUGGGCCAGUCUUCAUUGCUCUUGUUACCCAAGAAAAAUGUAAACAACUCGUGUCAUUUAAAGUUUUGACCUACUGGUAGCAACGUAGCUGGACAGCGGGGUCAUCUAGGUUACCAAUUUUUCUUUCAAAACAAAUACUAUUACUCCGUCUUAUACUCCGUGCACUACACUAGGUUUUUUUUUUUAACACUACACUACACUAGUGUAGAAAAAAAAAACAGACGGGAGUAGUACAUUGCAGAACGUGCAUGGUGAUGCGUGAAAAGAACACGCGCUUUUGUUCAGAGUGAAAAAAAGAAGAAGAAAACUGUACCGCCGGAACCUAGUACCGUGGAGAGUGGCUUGGCCCCUUCCAAGUCCACACGUCGCAUUUGUUUGUUGCGUCCCGCAGCGCUCGACGGUAGGUGGAGGCAAUGAUGCACCACCGUGUCGUCGGCUUGUUGCAUGGAUGCGACUGUGGAUCGGACGACUAGCUGGCUCGUGCGUGCGUACAUGGACCACCUCCAUUCCCACCCAUGAUGAUCGCCGUGAGUGUGCUCGCUCGCUCCCGUUCCGUGCGUGAUACAGAUGCAGUGCACGCAUGUGCGGUGCUGGUAGUAAUACUAGUAUGGAGGGGAUGGAUGGAUCCAGGUGGGGAUGAACUUCCGCACUCGGUGUGACGAGGCCCGGCGCACUCUGCCUCCAUCGAUUAGCAAAUUUAGCAUGCGAGGGAGGGAAUGGCAGCUGCGUCCACGGCAAAGGCGUAGCGAAGGGACUCGAUCGGCAAAGUUGCCUGAUGAGGUGAUUGAUUUCUUUGGACCCCGCCGCCUGCAGCUGCUAGCUAGCGUCUGACGUGAUCACUGGCGGUGCGCUCCUAGCUAGCAGCACCUCGGAUGCGCACAUGGCUUGUCAAAUGUGUCGGGGGGAAACCCAUGCCCGCGCGUACCACCGCCGAGAUACUACGCAUACGGUAGUUCAUAUUUAGAAAAUGUUUCAUAAACCCAUGCCCGCGCGUACCACCGACUCCUAAUGGCAGCUGAGUAUUGUUUAUGAAACAUUUUCUAAAAUACUUCCAUAAAUUUUUAAAGAUAGUCGGGCUCUAUACAAAUUAGGAGUCGCCAUAUCUGAUGAUGAAAAAAAAAAGAAUCGUUGUAUCUGUGCAACCUUCAUACUUUUUUGCAUGUUGCCGAGCCUUUGUGCAAACUUAAUCUCUUAUAUAUUUAACCUUUCGUCGUUCAAAUGAAACCAUAUUUUCCAGAUUCAAAUUUUAAAUAUGAAGUGCAACCAAAAGCAAUUGGCAUUGGCUCCAAAAUGGGUGAGCAAAAGAUGAACCAUCACGUACACAUCCAACCGACAUGCACAAAGCACAUGUUGGCAUCACUACCUGCUCUCAUGUACGCAUUGCCCCAUCCUCUGUGUUGGGCGCUCCAUGGCAUCCUACAAGCCAGGAUAUCCACUAUGCCUCGCCAAUCAAAAUGUUCUUGAUGUUUUGUGCGUGGCAUUUGGAUCUAACAUCAUGAACUAGUUCUCCAUAUUUUAUUGUAUCAAUCAAUUCUUCUGAAAUUGAAUUAUAUGCGCCUCCAUCUCUUUUUGUGCAUUUUACUUUCGUUAAUUGUUCCCACCAUCUCUUGUAGCCUCCUCUCCUGCAACUUCACCUUCUCCUAUUUUCUCUCUUUCAACAACUAGUUUCUUGACUUGAUAAACUCAUCAAUCUUGUCUUUCACGUCCUCCCCCUUGCAUCGUCUGUUAAGCGUAUGCUUCGAUCUCUCUUUCCUGUCUAGCAGCCCACGCGUCCGCGCAUGCAUGGCCCAGGAGUAGGACUCCUAGGUUUCCUCCCAUCUUGAUCGCCACUAUGAAACUCUGAAGAGGAAUAGGCAUAUAAAAAGCUAAAAGAUCUAAUGUGUAGGCUAUUCAAGGUAGCAAAUUAUUACAUUUUGAAAAUAAAACUAGGGAGGAAUUUUGUUUCUCAAUAUUUUUUGAGAAAUACAUGUAACUUUAUUUAACCAUGACAACCAUUAUUGGUACAUUGCUUUGGGUAAAAUAUCCAAAAAAAACUACAAAAUAACUUCCAUUACUAAGAAUUACGUUGAGUUCUCUUAGACACAUCUUCUCGGUGGUAACCAUUUUUGCAAGAUAAAUUCUACCAAACCUUCGACGAAGACACUGCAAUUAGACAUGGGCAACAACAUCGCCACUCAUAGAUUUGCACAAAUUUGUACCAUAAAGCUUUCGGAGAGCCCCUUGUGUCGCCAAUUCAAAAAUAUGAGAAGCCAUGAGCGAUGAAAGGACUUAGGCCAAGGAUAACCCCUUAGAAGAGAAGAUUCUCGAACCAUACUAUCUUCACUGUAGUGCCAAUGAAGAAUUCCAACUCCAUAAUGUUAGAAUUAGAGAUAUGAUGUAAUCUCAACUGUUUAUCUUAUUCUCUCCCGUAACAACUCCAAACUCUAUCUCCUUGUAACAACCUGAAUCCUAGCGAUCGGGUAUGACUUGUAAGCCACGACAAGGGCUCUUCUUGCCCUUGAUCAAUAUAACCCACGUGGCUCUCUACGGAGAGUAGGAGCGCUUCCAUCUAAUAUGGUAUACAGAGCCAUCCUCUUCCCAUUGAUCUAGCCAGCAGCCUCCUUCCUCGACUACCCUCGCCGCCACCUUCCUCGACUACCUUCCUCAACUACCGUUGCCAUGUCAUCCUCAUCCACCGUCUCCCUCAACAUUGGUGCUCUCCCAUCUGAGAGGCUCACUGGGACCAAUUUCAUCCUAUGGAAGGCACAGGUUAUGCGGGGUUUGUGAGGAGCGCAGGUCACCGGCCUCCUGGAUGGAUCAGAUGCAACGCCACCGAAGACAGUGCAACAGCAGCAGGCGGACAAAACGACCGCCACAGAACCCAAUUCUCUGUACGCACAGUGGAUAUCGAAGGACCAGCAAGCCUCAAGCCACCUCCUAAACUCUCUGUCAAUGGAGAUCCUCGCCCAAGUUGCGAGCAAGGAGACAACGUUCGAGCUUUGGACUGCCAUCACCACCAUGUUCGCCUCACAAUCACAAUCACGCAUCACCAACCUGCAGAUUGCCAUCACCAACACAAAGAAAGGCUCCAUGUCCAGCAGCGCCUACAUCUCCAGGAUGAAGAACCUGGGGGAUGAGCUCGCAGUGGCAGGUCGUCCCGUCUCGGAUCCAGAAAUGGUGGACUACGUUCUUGCCGACCUCGAUAGAGACUAUGACCCUGUUGUGGCAGCCAUCGGAGCAGUAAAGAACCAAAUCUCAAUAGACGAUCUAUUUGCUCAGAUUGCAACCUUUGAUCAGCGCAUGGAGAUGCUCGGCGACGAACCUGAUGCGGGCUUCAAGACUUCAGCAAACCUAGCCUACAGGGGGCGCGGGCGCAGCUACAGCAGAGGCCGCGGGCGCAGCAACAACAGGGGGCGCGUCCAAGGCAGGCGCCCCUCCCCAACUCCAUCGGGCGAAAAUGGCGACGGAGGAGGUGGCCGCGGUCACCCAGAGCAACAACGUCAGCAGCAAGCUCGAGACUAUCCAGAGUGUCAGAUUUGUUACAAGCAUCAUCCUGGAGAUGCUCGUGAUUGUUGGCAUCGGUAUGAUGAUGAAUAUGAACAUGAGGAGAAGGGGGCCAACAUGGUCACCGACUCUUAUGGGGUCGACACGAAUUGGUAUGCGGACACCGGCGCAACAAAUCACAUCACAGGGGAGCUCGACAAGCUAACGAUCAGAGACAAGUAUCGUGGACAUGACCAAGUGCAUAUUGCAAGCGUUCUGGUAUGAAAAUCACUCAUGUUGGUAGUUCAAUUGUCAAAACCCCCAUGAAGAACUUGCAUCUUAAAAGAGUUUUAUAUGUGCCCACAACAUCAAGGAAUCUCCUUUCUGUUCAUAGAUUUACCCUUGGUAAUCGUGUUCUCAUUGAAUUAUAUCCAUAUUUCUUUUUGGUAAAGGACUUGGACAUGAGGAGAAUUCUUCUUAGGGGCAAAUGUGUGGGAGGUUUCUACCCGCUCAUAUCUUCAUCAACACCAUCAAAUAAAUAGGCUUUCGUUGCUGUCAAGCCUUCAUCAUCAAAGUGGCAUAGUAGACUAGGUCAUCCUUUGUCAGUUAUUGUUAAAUUUGCUCUUAGCAAGAAUAAGCUUUCGUACUCUCAUGAGUCCAAUAUUGAGUCUAUUUGUGAUCCAUGUCAACAAGCUAAAAGUCAUCAUUUGUCAUAUCCCAUAUCUACCAGUAUUUCCACUGCACCAUUGCAACUUGUGUUUUCAGAUGUGUGGGGGCCAGCACCCACCUCCGUUGGUAGGCACUCAUAUUAUGUCAGUUUCAUGACGACUAUAGCAAGUUUACAUGGAUCUACCUCCUCAAGAAACGUUCUAAACUAUUUCAAGUCUUCAAGAACUUUCAAAACCUUGUUGAGCGCAAACUAAACACUAAAAUCAUCGCCAUGCAAACCGACUGGGGAGGUGAAUAUAUAAAACUAAAUUCCUUUUUUCAAGAACUUGGUGUUUCACAUCAUGUUGCAUGUCCUCAUGCACAUCAACAGAAUGGCUCUGCUGAAAGGAAGCAUCGCCAUGUUAUUAAAGUAGGGCUAGCUCUACUAGCAAAUUCAUCCAUGCCACUAAAAUUCUGGGAUGAAACCUUCUUAACUGCCACAUAUCUCAUCAACUUGCUACCCAACAAGGUCAUAAAAUUUGAAACCCCCAUGACACACCUCUUUGGUAUCUCUCCUGACUAUAAGUCGCUGCAUGUAUUCGGUUGUGCUUGUUGGCCCAACAUUCGCCCGUACAAUACACGCAAGCUUGCAUUCCGCUCAAAGAAAUGUGUGUUUCUUGGGUAUAGUCCCAUUCACAAAGGAGUUGAAUGCCUAGAUGCCUCUACUGGCCAGGUCUACAUCUCUCGUGACGUAGUAUUCGAUGAAUCUAUUUUUCCCUUUGAGUCACUUCAUCCUAAUGCUGGAGCACUUCUCAAAUGACAAAUCCUUCUUUUUCCACCACAUCUCCAAAAUUCUGAUCAUGGGGGUGACAAUUGUACUAACCCAACUGAUGAUCCUACGAGUAGGACUAUGUCUCCAUGUGUGCAGAAUCAUGCAACAGAAAACAAAGCAUAAAUUGGUGGAGAAAAUGAUUAGACUUUUGCAGAAAACGAGCUCAUAUUUCAUGCACCAGAAGAAGACGAAGUUGGCACGGAGCACGAGGUGGAUCUGGAGUCACCUGGAACUCCUGUUCGCCUGACCGCCUCGGAUCAUGGGCGCAGAUACGCGUCGAAUCGCGCGCCUGGUGGACUCCUCCCGCCGCGCCAACCAGCGGAUGCCACGUUCCCGCAUGCGGACGAGCCGUGCUCCGCACCACGUCCCACGCACAGGCAGGCGACAGCGACGUGAGAUCUGGUGGGUUCCGUGUCGGGAUCCCCGUCACAUGUGCAUGCGCCAGCGACCAGCGGUAGAUCCUCUGUGGCUGUUUUCUCUAGCGGAUCAGACACACCUCAAGCCACACAAUCUGGUUCGGGAUCCGCUGUGGAAAGGGAAUCUGAAAAUUCUUCGAGAUCCUCUGUGCCGAAGCCUUCUGCGCCAUCUCCUGUAGCACGACCAACACGCACAUGUCAAAGCCAGCCCCAACAAGUUGCAACUUCACGUUUCAUGACACGGUCGCAAAAAGGUAUAAGAAAUCCAAAGGCCAGAACUGAUGGUACUAUUCCAUAUGGUAUGUUGUGUAUUGCAAGAGAACCAACAAACAUGGAAGAUGCACUUGGAGAUCCCAAAUGGAAAAAUGCAAUGGAUGAAGAAUAUUCAGCACUUAUGAGGAACAAGACUUGGCAUCUUGUACCAGAGAAAAGGGGUAAAAAUAUCAUUGACCGUAAGUGGGUUUACAUAAUCAAAAGAAAGGCAGGUGGCUCCAUUGACAGGUAUAAAGCUCGUUUACUUGCAAAAGGUUUCAAACAACGCUAUGGUCUGGACUAUGAAGAUACUUUCAGUCAUGUUCUAAAAGCUGCAACCAUCAGACUUGUGUUAGCUAUUUCUGUGUCCAGGGGAUGGAGUUUGAGACAGCUAGACAUUAAGAACGCGUUUUUGCAUGGUGUUCUAGAAGAGGAGGUUUACAUAAGACAAUCACCUGGGUAUGUAAAUAAGCGAGCACCUCAUCAUGUGUGCAAGCUUGAUAAGGCACUUUAUGGCUUGAAGCAAGCACCAAGGGCAUGGUACUCAAGGUUAAGCUCUCAGUAAGGUGUCUAGGAUUUGUUGCAUCUAAGGCUGACACUUCAUUGUUCAUCUACAACAAGGCAAACAUAACUGUAUUUGUAUUAGUAUAUGUUGAUGAUAGCAUAGUUGCAAGCUCCUCACAAAGUGCUACUAAUGCUCUUCUACAUGAUUUAAGCUCGAAGUUUGCCUUGAAGGACCUUGGUGAUCUACACAUCUUCUUGGGCAUUGAAGUAAAGAAGAUUCAAGAUGGCAUAACAUUAAACCAGGAAAAAUAUGCCACUGAACUUCUAGCUCGUAUGGGGAUGAAAGACAGUAAGCCUUCACCCACACCAUUAUCCUCUUCAGAAAAACUUUCAACUUUUGAAGGUGAACUGCUCAAGGAAAAAGAAAUCACAAGAUACAGAAGUGCAGUAGGAGCCCUACAAUACUUGACACUGACAAGACCUGAUAUUUCCUUCGCUGUUAACAAGGUUUGUCAAUAUCUUCAUGCACCUACCACUGUACAUUGGACAGUUGUCAAAAGAAUUGUACGGUAUAUAAAACAUACUAUGAGCUUAGGCCUUCAAGUCAAACGCUCCAACUCCACUCUUGUUAGUGCGUUCUCUGAUGCUGACUGGGCAGGAUGCAGUGAUGACAGGAAGUCAACUGGAGGAUUUUGAAGGAAAUAUGCCCUAGAGGCAAUAAUAAAGUUGUUAUAUAUAUUUGCUUAUAUCAUGAUAAAUGUUUAUUAUUCAUGCUAGAAUUGUAUUAACCGGAAACUUAGUACAUGUGUGAAUACAUAGACAAAUAGAGUGUCACUAGUUUGCCUCUACUUGACUAGCUCGUUGAAUCAAUGAUGGUUAUGUUUCCUAACCAUAGACAUGAGUUGUCAUUUAAUUAAUAGGAUCACAUCAUUAGAGACUGAUGUGAUUGACUUGGCCCAUCCGUUAGCUUAGCACGAUGAUCAUUUAGUUUGUUGCUAUUGCUUUCUCCAUAACUUAUACAUGUUCCUAUGACUAUGAGAUCAUGCAACGCUCGAAUACCGGAGGAACACUUUCUGUGCUACCAAACGUCACAACAUAACUGGGUGAAUAUAAAGGUGCUCUACAGGUGUCUCCGAUGGGUUUUUUUGAGUUGGCAUAGAUCGAGAUUAAGAUUUUGUCACUCGGAUUGUCGAAGAAGUAUCUCUGGGCCCUCUCGGUAAUGCACAUCAAUAUAAGCCUUGCAAGAAAUGUAGCUAAUGAGUUAGUUACGAGAUGUAGCAUUACAAAACGAGUAAAGACACUUGUCGGUAACGAGAUUGAACUAAGUAUUGAGAUACCGACGAUCGAAUCUCGGGCAAGUAACAUACCGAUGACAAAGGGAACAACGUAUGUUGUUAUGCGGUUUGACCAAUAAAUAUCUUCGUAGAAUAUGUGGGAGCCAAUAUGAACAUCCAGAUUCCGCUAUUGGUUAUUGACCGGAGACAUGUCUCGGUCAAUUCUACAUAGUUCUCGAACCCGUAGGGUCCGCACGCUUAACGUUCGGUGAAGAUCGAUAUUAUGAGUUUAUGUGUUUUGAUGUACCGAAGGUAGUUCGUAGUCCCAGAUAUGAUCACGGACAUGACGAGGAGUCUCGAAAUGGUCGAGACAUAAAGAUCAAUAUAUUGGAUGACUAUAUUUGGACGUCGGAAUGGUUCCGGGUGAGUUCGGGCAUAUACCGGAGCAUCGGAAGGUUACCGGAACCCUCGGGAGGUAUAUGGGCCUUAUUGGGCCAUAGUGGGAGAGAAGAGAGGGAGGCCUAGGAGGGGGCACGCCCCCCUCAGGCCCAAUCCGAAUUGGGUGGGCCCCCCCUUUCCUUCCCCCUCUCUCCCCCUUCCUUCCACUCCUAGUCCAACUAGGGAAGGGGGGGGGGAAUCCUACUCCCGGUGGGAGUAGGACUCCCCAUGGGUGCGCCAUAGGAGGGCCGACCCUCCCCCUCCUCCACUCCUUUAUAUACGGGGAAGGGGGAACCCCAUAGACACACAAGUUGAUCAUUGAUCUUUUAGUCGUGUGCGGUGCCCCCCUCCACCAUAAUCCACCUCGGUCCUAUAGUAGCGGUGCUUAGGCGAAGCCCUGUUCCGGUAGCAUCAUCAUC
rnacentral:lncRNA from 1 species